AAUGGCCUCUAUUGAUUUCUUCCUUGGCAUUUUUGCUCAUAGCCACUACUGCCACGGCUGCUUAUGAGCCUUACAUUUAUGCCUCACCACCUCCACCGCCUUACUAUUACAAGUCACCACCACCACCAGAAUAUUCUCCACCACCACCUUACUACUACAAAUCUCCACCACCACCUGAGAAGUCUCCCCCGCCACCUUACUACUAUCACUCACCACCUCCUCCUAAGAAGUCACCCCCACCACCUUACUACUAUAAGUCUCCGCCUCCGCCGAAGGAAUAUCCCCCACCACCUUACUACUACAAGUCUCCGCCACCACCGGAGAAGUAUACCCCGCCACCUUACUACUACAAGUCUCCGCCCCCACCCGAGAAGUAUACCCCGCCACCUUACUACUACAAGUCACCGCCCCCUCCGCCACCUUACUACUACAAGUCUCCGCCACCACCGGAGAAGUAUACCCCGCCACCUUACUACUACAAGUCACCGCCCCCACCCGAGAAGUAUACCCCGCCACCUUACUACUACAAGUCACCGCCCCCACCGGAGAAGUAUCCCCCUCCACCUUACUACUACAAGUCACCGCCCCCACCGGAGAAGUAUCCCCCUCCACCUUACUACUACAAGUCACCGCCCCCACCAGAGAAGUAUCCCCCUCCACCUUACUACUACAAGUCACCGCCCCCACCAGAGAAGUAUCCCCCUCCACCUUACUACUACAAGUCACCGCCCCCACCAGAGAAGUAUCCCCCUCCACCUUACUACUACAAGUCACCACCGCCACCAGAGAAGUAUCCCCCUCCACCUUACUACUACAAGUCACCACCGCCACCACCUUAUUAUUAGAAGUCUCCUCCACCUCCCUCUCCAUCUCCACCCCCUCCAUACUACUAUAAGUCGCCACCUCCUCCUUCUCCAUCUCCACCCCCACCGUACUAAUAUUUGUCUCCUCCACCUCCUAAAGGCUACUAAAUAUACAAUGUGUUGUUGAAACAUGUGUGAUCUUAGUUAUGUAAGAAUAAGUGUAAGUUUGUAAGCUUGUUCUAUUUCUGAUUUUUUCUUCAUCAAUGUUUUUGUGAAUAAAAGGAUUUGAGAUGGUAAAUCCAUUUGUAAGAAGUGCUGCUCAUUUUCGUUGUAAAAGUUAUUGUAAGCAAUAAGAUCUCGUAAUUUAAGGUUUCAUAAAAGUUAUAUGUGCAACUACUUUCAAUUUCCAUUGUCAUCUUUUUCACAACCACCAAGCGUAUUACUUCUUUAUAGAUGGAAAAUGCAGAGGCAAGCUUAUUAUUCUUUAAUAUUACCAUUCUUGAUGUGUUUGUUUAUUUAGUUGAAACGGUAAAUAAAAUGUACAUGAAGUACCGCACUGCAUCCAAAUUAAAUUUAGGAUAUAGACUAAGUUCAUGUAAUCUCAAUUUUGUCACAUUAUUAUUGGAUUUUAUAUAAAUAGCUAAUUUCUUUUCCUUCCGAAUUUCGACGGGAAGGAGAAUUUAUUAAGUAAUACAGAGAAGUGCACCUAGUAAUAUUUAAAGAGGAUAUAAUGAGCACUACCUUUCAUGAUGAUAAUGCCCAUGAACAAGUAAGAGAAGCUUAGAGUUUUAUUCCUACUCAAAUCAGAUUCUACGGAGGAGUUAUAUUCGUACCUUUUUAACGCUUUACAUAUAUGAUUAGAGAAUUAUGAGGACAUAAAUUCCGCUAUAAAUUUGUUGUUAUAUUUAGAGGAGUUUACAUGACUGGAGAAUUAUACACACAUAAAUUCUUUGAUGUCCAUUUUAAAUUAUAUUCCAAAAGGGAAAAUGUUUUCCGUUUAUGGUUUAAAAAUAGAAGCUUUGUGCUUUUUUUUUUUAAAAAAAAAAUCUAGAUCAUUCAGUGAAUAUUGGUUGUUAAUUUACUGCCAAAAUACUCGUAAGUUUAUUUAUUUAUUCUGUAAUGCAACUUUUGGGAUACAUAAUAAUCAUAUAAAUAAAUAAACUAUAUUGUAAUAUAUUUCAAUUAACUUGUUGACUUGUAUGAAAAGAGCGUGUCAUUACCUUUUAUGCCUAAUUAAAUUUACAAUUUUAGUCCCUAUGAUUUUUUUUUUUCAAUCAUUAAUUCCAUGCUCUUAUGAGUAGAAACAUAUGUAGAAUUUUGAUAUUUAAGAGUUGGUGGAGUUUCUAUGAUAUUUUGUACCUGUGGCUCAUCAUUUCACCACGGUGGGCAACUUCAUGGAUUUUGUCCUCUAAAAGGUAGCACUCUAACUUAAGAUGCCAUGUUCUUCAGAAAGUUAUCAAAUAGUUGAAUAGUUAUAUUAAGUUUAUUAUUGAUAAGAAUCUUAAUUAACUAGAUAUAGUACUUAAUAUACAAUGUUUUAUUCGUGAAAUUGUUGAACUAUUUUCACCAUUUUUCAAUGUCAUUUUCAGGAUGAGCUAUCAUUUGGAAUUUCAUUUUCUAUGGACUCUCACUUUUUCCCAUAACCACUUUUUUUGUUUAUAUUUUAUCAGAUUAAUUAUUCCUUGUUUGUUUAGAAGGAGCUUUCAUAUUGGAGAAAUACAUUACGUAUCUUAUAAAUCUAUGCAUCUUUACCUUUUUUUUUCCCAAAAUAAUUAAAAAAAAAAAAACCUCACCAAUGACCAAUCCAAUGUUCAAUAUGAAAAGUUUGAAGAAAAAAUGGUGUGAACUAAAACAAAAUAUAUAAUUUUGUCACAAUCCAAGAAAAAAAAAUCAUUAUAAAAUAUAAUUAAGAGGUAGCCACCUUCUCUACAUCAAUUUGUCACAAAACUAUAUCAGUGAGAUAUAUGCAAGACUCACCCAUUGGUACAAAAGAAAAUGAUCAAAGUGGAAGCAAAAAUGUGGUGAUAAUUUAGAUGAUCUCCACUCCCCAUUUAGUUUCAUUUAUUAAGUUAAUGUUUAAUCAAGAGUCUAAUUACUCAUUUUAUUAUGUUAUUAAUCAACUGCCGCCCCUUCCACUGGUUCAUUAUUUUUUAUGGAAUACAAAAAACAGACAAUAAUAUUCUUUGACAUAGCUAGGAAUAUAGCCCACUUGCAAGAGACUUACAUUCCAUCGCUCCCUAAUUUCCCGUGUAACAUCUUAUCUUGCAUCACAUCAGAGACGUGUUCGUUUGCACAGCCAUUUCGUGAAUAUAAAAUUGCUGCCGAAUAAGCAUCUAAUCAAAAGAAUUUGUCAACGGUAUAAAUUAAAAUAUAAAAAACGAGUAAAAGAAUUUGUCAAUAGGAUAUGGGAGGCCAUGGCUUCAAUCGGUUUGUGCAAUGGUCAAUGGCAUAUUUUUGCUCAUCGUCACCACUGAAUCCACUGAUCAUUUGUGCAUGUGAGUUGUUUUUGAGCAUUUAUUUUUCCCUUUAGAAGCAUAAGGAUAAGGCUAGUCUUCUUUUUGGGAGGACUUAUUGCUUCCAUUCGUUAAAAUUGGGCAUGUAAAAUGUCAAGAAAAAAUGGCCUAAGUGGCUAGCUAGAUGAUAUAAUGGAUGGUUACUACUCAAACCUAGCAAUAAAUGAAUGUCCGACAAGCAUUCAAAUGAAUGAAUAAAACCAAUCAGAUUAGAAUAUCUAUUUAUGAUAGAUUAAUGAAAAUACGAUUCAAAUAUAAGGUAAAUAAUCUCUCCAUUAAUUUUUUAUUGUUUCAGGCAGGGUUGCCAAGCCUCUGUCCGGGCUUCUAUAAGCUCAAUUCCAGCUCUCCUAUAUGAUUGAAUUAGAUCGGGCUAGGCCCUCGGACUUUUUAAUUAAAAAAGGUCGAUUUUUAAGUUUAUGAAGUUAAUACACUCACGCUUAUACUUUAAUAUUUUUAUUAUUUGGCUUUUAGAAUAUUAACGUGUAAAUUACUUUUUUUUUUCAAGUGAAAUAAUUAUCACAUUUUGUCUUCUUAGUAUAUAUUUCUACCUUUUUGUUCCUAUAGAUAUUUCCUCAUUUCAUCUUUGGUACUAGAGCGUAGUAAAAAAACACAUGAUUAAAGAUAAAUAUGACAUUUUAACUAACAAAUUAAUUAUUUGUAUCUAAGAUCUAGCUCUAGUGGUAAAGAUCAAUUUUCAUCGAAUUCAAGUCUUGGGUUUGAAUUUAAAUGCAUGGGUAAGUUAAUAAUAAUAAUAAUAAUAAUAAUAAUAAUAAUAAUAUCAAAUUAACUAGCUUUAAUUUGCAAAGGUCUUAGAUAAUCAAUUCGCUUGUAAAAAUAUCAAAAUUUUUUUUAAUCAAUGAAAUUUUCAAGUCUCUAGUUUUAGCACAAGGAAUGAAUUAAAAGAGUAAUGAUAAAUAUUUUACAAUUUUAUCCCAAAUGAUAAGACAUGUCAUGUGUCAUGUAUUAAGUGAUUGAUGAUUUUUUUAUAAAUUUUAAGUGGAUGAAAUAUAUUAUUUCACCAACCAGUAAAUGAAUAUGACAUCAUUUGAGAAGGAAUUUUAUGGUACAAUUUUGAAAUAUUUAUCACUACUCAAUUAUAUACAGUAUAAAAAAUCUAAUAGGGACCAAAAAUAUAAAAACAGAUUAAGAAUAAAAAAUAUAAAAGUCAAUUCCUAAUUAGGAGAAUGAAAGUGUCAUUCCCCUGUAAUCAUUUCACUAGAUAUUAUGUAAAUAUAUUAAGGCAAAAUUUUAAUAGAAAAUUGGUACCCAAACCUAACGUCUUUGACAUUGCUGCCAAGAUCACUCACAACUUACAAGAAUAAAAAAUUGGUAUUAAAUUUAUUAAUGUUCUCAAGGAAUUUUUAGCUUGACUUUACAUUUCUCGGACCCAUUUGUCACAUAACACCUUAGUUCGUUAACAAAGCCCUUUCAUGAGAAUAUUAGAACUGCUGUCGAAUAAGCAUCUUAACAACCCCUUUUUGACAUACAUGCAUGCCUCCUUCUGUGAACAAUUUGAAACAUAAAAUAAAAUUUCAAUCGAUGUGAGGGUUGGAGUAUUUUAUAGCUUUUGACCUCAUUAAUUAUGAGUAAGAGAAUAUUUCUACGUCACUAAUGGUUAAAAUGAUCACUAUAUAAAGGGUAGCAAAGUAUGUUUAACAUCAAGUCAGAAAACACAAUUUUUAGGAAAUGGGAACUCGGGGACAAGCGAGGCAAUGGCCUCAAUUGUUUUGUGCUAUAGCAUUUUUGCUUAUAACCACCACCACCAAGGCAUCGGCUGAUGAUUAUGCCUCAGCACCACCACCAAAGUAUUCUUCUCCACCUCCUUACUACUACAAAUCACCACCUCCUCCUUCUCCCUCUCCACCUCCACCAUAUUAUUACAAGUCUCCCCCACCACCAUCUCCGUCUCCUCCACCACCUUACUACUACAAGUCACCACCACCACCAGUGCAUUCUCCCCCGCCACCUUAUUACUACAAAUCUCCGCCGCCACCAAAGUAUUCUCCCCCGCCACCUUAUUACUACAAAUCUCCACCGCCACCAAAGCAUUCUCCCCCACCACCUUACUACUACAAAUCUCCACCGCCACCAAAGCAUUCUCCUCCACCACCUUACUACUACAAAUCUCCACCACCACCAAAACACACCUUACUAUUAUAAAUCACCACCUCCACCAAUGAAGUCUCCACCUCCGCCAUAUUACUAUAAAUCACCACCACCACCAAAGCAUUCUCCCCCGCCACCUUACUACUACAAGUCUCCACCACCACCAAAACAUUCCCCACCACCACCUUACUACUAUAAGUCACCGCCUCCACCAGUAAAGUCUCCACCACCGCCCCCAAAGCAUUCUCCCCCACCACCUUAUUAUUACAAAUCACCACCUCCACCAGUGAAGUCUCCACCUCCGCCACCUUACUAUAAAUCACCACCACCUCCAAAGCAUUCUCCCCCUCCACCUUACUAUUAUAAAUCACCACCUCCACCAAUGAAGUCUCCACCUCCGCCAUAUUACUAUAAAUCACCACCACCACCAAAGCAUUCUCCCCCGCCACCUUACUAUUAUAGAUCUCCACCACCACCAAAGCAUUCUCCCCCACCACCUUACUACUAUAAGUCACCACCUCCACCGAAGAAAUCCCCACCUCCACCAUAUUAUUAUAAGUCGCCACCACCACCAAAGCAUUCUCCCCCACCUCCUUAUUAUUACAAAUCUCCACCACCACCAAAGUAUUCUCCACCACCACCUUACUAAUACAAAUCUCCACCAACGCUAUCUCUAUCCCCACCUCCAUCUUACAUUUAUAAAUUCCCACCUCCACCAUCUAUAUCACCUCCACCACCACCUCCAUCACUGUCACUAUUGCCUCGCUACUGUUCCAAGUCAUCACCACCUCCUGAAGACUACUAAGUUCAAUGUUCCGUCUUCAAACAAAUUUAAAAUUCAAUAAGAAUAAAUUUGUUCCUUCAGUUGCCUUUUUCAUGAAUUUUUAUGUUAAUGUUUUUACGAAUAAUUUUUAAGAAGCGUUCGGUGUAUCAUUGUCAUGUGCAAUAAAAAUUUUCUAACUUAAUGUACCCAAAAAAAAAUGUUCCACAAGAAAUAUUCUAUUGUUUUAUCACAAAUGUGUUGUGGCACAUGUAAUGCGCCUAGAUAAAGUAAUAUUAUGUCUUGAUGAACAAUCAUGCACAACAAUGAUCAUGUACAUAGUUCUUCCAAUGUCAUGAUAAUGUCCAUGCACAUAAUAACAAACUUCUUCCUUGUAAUAUCAAAGAAAAUGAAUAUACAAGCCUCUUAUUCUCUAAUCAUUCACUCAAACAACAUUGUUUUAAUUUAGGUUUUGAUCAAUCUUAAUGCUCAUAAAUGCUAACUACAAAUCAUAUACAAGAUCAACAAAAACCAUAUUUUAAAUGAAUUAGAAAAACAAACAUUAGACUUAACCAAGUAGUUAACCUUUAUUAUUCUCCUAGGUAGAUUACAAGCUAUCACUGAAAAAAAAAAUCAUCUAAAAUGGUGAACAAAUGCGCUCUAAAUCAGUUGCAUUCAUUUGUUCAGCUAAGCAAUAAAAUAACCCUUUUCCAUUUUAACUUAUAUACUUUGGCAUGGUAACUUUAAAUAACACCCUCAACUUGACAAAUUUUAAUAACCAAAGCGAUCAAUAACUGUAAAUCUUGACAAAAUUUUUUACUUUAGUUAAAGCCAUAAACAUAGUAUUAAAUAAAAUGAAAAAAAAGGCCAUAAACAUAGUGUUGAAAUACCUUUAUACUUGUGAACUAACUUUUGAUGUUGAUUAAGCUCAUGUACCCUCAACUUUUGUAUUAUGAAUAUGCUUAUGCCCUAUCUUAGGUCUCCUCUAUGAACUCCUCCAUGAACCACUUUUUUUUUUUUUUUUAAAAAAUAAAUUCAUUAUGAUACUAAGGUAUAAGCAGAAGUAAAAUUCCUUUAAUAUUAUUGUAAUCAGGAUGUGGCUACCUAGGUGAUACAUGAAUUGGUUAUUUGUACAUUUUACUACAUUUUUUUGAGUUUGCUUGCUAUUUUUCUCUUUGUUCCAAUAAUUCCCACACGAGGAUAAUCUCAUUUUAACAAAGAAAGAUACUACUGAAAUACAACAAAACAUAAAUUCUAAUAUACUAGAAAAUUUUUUUUUCUUUGCCUUUUCAUAUCUUAGAGUUAUGUUUUUAUCCUCUUGUAGUGGCAUAUAUGCAUUUUAACUAGAAUAUUCUUAUUUGAGAAUUAUUAAUAAGAGAGUGGUAGACAAAUGAUACAAAACUAUGCUGCUUCACGAUUAACAACACAUUCAAUCGAGUAACGAUAGAGAGUCAAUUCUAACACCACGAGAAAGCAAACAAAAGUUGAAAUAUUUUAGCGAAUACCUUUUAAAGUUUGAAUUAAUAAUAAAAUUGUCCCAAAAAACUGCCUUAAUGGAAUUAAUGUGGAGAUUUAGUGGUAGGGUGCAUCAAUAUCAUUUUCCAGAAAAAAAAUAGUCAAAAUAUGAAAGGUUUGUUCUGCAGGUGGUUGAUAUUGCUGUACAUUAAUAUCAAUGAUACGUACCAAAUUCUAUUAUAAAAUUCAUUAAUGUAUAAGUAGAAUAUUUAAUAAAUUAAUUCCGGGUAAAACGUCGGUGAUAUGAACAGUAGCGAAGCUGCAACCGGGUUAGCUUUUUUUUUUAAUAAAAAAAUAGUUAAUUAUAAUUUAUGAAUUUGCCUUUAUUAAUACUUAAAAAAAUAAAAAUAAAUUUAAUAGCCCACCCCGAUGCUAGCUAAGCUAAAAAUAAAAUAUAUCGAAUAAAUGGUGAAGAGAAAGCUGUAAUAAUUAUCGUAAUUACAGUGAGAAGCUGUAAUUUUCUUGAACACGCUUUGACGUACGAUUAGCAAAAAAGUCGUCUGUCUAUAAGCAAUUGGCCGUACAGCAUCUUAACUAUUCCGUUGACAUUGUAAUUAAUUAAUUGAUGACUUUUCUAUAAUUUCUUUGAACCAAAUGCAGAUAUUUAGUGGGCAACCCGCAACCCUUGCUUGGCAAAAUAUAGGAAAGAAAAACUUGAAAUUUAUAAAUGUUACAUUUUGUUUGGAUGAAUAAUUUUGAGAUAAUGUUUCAGUUUUAGAUUUUGUUACCGAUACCUAAUUAUAAUAAUAAAAAAUAUUGCAUCAUUUUUUUACCAACAGUUACAAUACAUUUUAUUUUUUUUUCUUCUCAAUAUUUAAACUCGAAUAAUCAGUUAAAAGUUGCUCGAGAAUGUUUAAAAGCCAUUUAAGUAUACCACGUCAUUCAUGUUUUGCAAUCAUUCAAUUGUUAAUAAGUUUCCCAUGUGCUGAAAAUAAAUAAAAAUGCACGUGCAUAUGUCAUAUUGUCUCCGAAACCUCACAGCGGAAUGAGUGUAGUACUUGCAAUGCAUGUACUUUAGACUUUGUAUUUCUCUUAUUUAAAUGAUCAAUAAUUUUUCUUUGUCCUUUAAUUAGACGUCAACAGUCGAAGUUGUGGGCAAGUAGUAGGCUAUAUAUAAUAAUUUCCUGGAGAUCUUCCGUCUUCUAAGACAUUGCAAAUGCCAAACGUGAUAACUAUUUUGAUAAUUCAAAUACUACAUAAAAUAUAUGAAGUGUCAGACAAGUCAAAAGAAUUGAUUCUUCACAAUUGUAUAUACGUAUACACACACUUUGCCCAAAUCCCAUUGUAUCCAGGCUGUAAUUUUUAUAUUAAACGAACAUAUUUUAUUUUAUGUCAGCAAUAUUGAUGCAGGCUGGUGGAACAACAGCUUCAGGAUGGUCAACUACCCUUCGGAUCAUUGCAAGUGGGAUGGCAUCACUUGCAAUUCAGAUGGAACCAUAAUCGGGCUAAAAUUAUCAGGGUAUGAUGUUGACUUCAAAAGGUAGUCUUCGUAAAAUUAUCAUGGUAUAAUAUACGUAUUUAUUUUCGCAUACAUAAAUAAAUAACAAAAUUGUAAUUAAUUGGAUACAACUUCAGCUUUUGGACUGGUUUGUGAAAAUCGGAAAAAUUUAAAAAUGCUCCUCUUGAACAAUCAAAAUCUACUUUAUACGUGAACAAAGGGGAUGAUUCGUAAAGAUAAUUCAUCAAUGUUUGAUUACUUUCAGAAAGAUAGACUUCAUUUGAUCUCGUCCCAAAGCAUAAUUUCACUUUGAAUUUGAAAAAGAAUAAUGAAGUUCAUACGAUGCUGUUGUGACCUUUUUUUUUUGUUUUCUUUUUUUCUCGACGUUGUUUUGUGAAUCAUAAGGGUUAAUUUAGUACGGUGGGUUCGCUUGUAUGAAGCGUACUUAUUGUACCAUUCUGUUGCAAGUAAUGAAAAAACGCUAUAAUUUUUUUUAGGUUUCUACAAGUAUUAUGUUAUCUUAUAUCUAACUGUGCAUCUCUAUUCUUUGCUCUCAGUUCAGGUUCUCUAAAAGUAUAUUAAUUAUGAAAAGCAUUAAAGGUUCCGAAACUCUAUUUUGCGGGGAAAAAGAACCUCCAUUUUUGGUUUUUUAUUAUCAUAAGAGGUUUUACUAUGCUCGUAAUAACUUAAUCGAAAUUAAACAUAUCACUGGUCUACAUUUUUUUAUCAGAUUUUGUGCCUUGCUAAUUAAGAUGAGUAUCACCAUCAAAUCAACAAGCUUAUACCUUCAAAGAAAAAUAGACUAUAAGUCGGGAGAAAGAAGAAGAAAAAAAAAAAGAAGCUUCGCAAUUUAUGCUGUUGGUUGUGAGUUCAUGAAACAAAUAAAAAUAUGAAAUCAAACAUUUAUUCAAAAUUUAAAAUUAAAAAAAAAACUCUAUAUCUACAGUAAUCUGUUCAAACCACAUAGGUGGAGCAAUAUAGUUCCAAGACGUGGUUUUAAAACAUGUCUUUGUGAUAAACAAUAUCGUGAUACUUGCGCCAAUUCCCAUGGCAAUAAUUGCCUACAUUUAUCCAAGAUCCAUGGCCAGGUUUAGAAUGUGCUAGUCUUCUUUCACUUUCAUAAAUAACCACUACUAGGUAAUCAGAGUGUCGGUCUAAAUUUUUCGGAGAUACAACGUCAAUGUAUGUGCCCGGAGUUGAAGCUGAACGCGCUUAAAUAUGUUCGGAAUUUGAAGUUGAACGCCUGGAAAAGGAUGCAGACUGAAGAAAGGCAAUUCCUGGAAUUUGUCUUUGGUAAGAAAACAUGGCUGCUUAUGCCCUUUGAAAGACUGAAGAAACCAAAUUGAUUAUUGCUGCAAUUUAGUGGCACAUGUACGAGGAGAGGCAUCCAAUUAAACUUGUUCAUAAAAGUAUUGCUGAUAGUUGCAGCCGAUCUCCAGACAAAAUCUUCGUACAAUUUUAUCCGCCAGCAAUUUCGACCAAGAGACCUUGAUGCAGUUCAGACCAAUUCGCCAGUUGAACAUCAAGUUGCCUAGGCAUUGAGAAUUAGGUCAAUAAAAUAUAUCCUGGGUCACUUACAAAAGAUGAAAUAAGUGAAAAAGGAAAGAUGACGUAAUAAUUUCUUAGUGAGAAAAGUUAGUUAAUUUUCAAUUGCUUUCAUUGUUUUGAUAAUUUUCAAAACAUUUCAUUGCUUUCAUUGCGUAAUUAAGCUUUUUUUGCUUCAAAAUAUUUCAAAUUGUGUUUGUGGGACUACUAAACAAUUAGGACACAACAAUGUUUCGUUCUGGUCUUUUUUUUUUUUUACUUUUUAAUUUAUUUUAAGAAAAUCUUUGUCCAUCUCUCAUCCUGCCAAAUAUAUCGUCUCGUCUUGUUAUCUAGAAUAAUUCUUCAUGCAUCAAUGAGUUUUGACAAAUUUUUAUCUUUUAAAAGUUGUUGUAAUUCAAUAUAGCUAAAAUCUUAAAUACAUACAUGUAGAAUAAUCUAAGCAUUACCUUAUUCGGGGAAAAUCGAGAUUAGAAUCAAUCAAAGCAAUGAUACCUUAUAUCAGUGAGAUAUAUGCAAGACUCACCCAUUGGUACAAACGAAAAUGAUCAAAGUGGAAGCAAAAAUGGAAUCCUCAAAUGUGGUGAUAAUUUAGAUGAUCUCCACUCUCCAUUUGGUUUCAUCUAAUAAGUUAGUGUUUAAUUAAGAAUUUAUUACUCAUUUUAUUAUGAUAUUAAUCAACUGCCGUCCCUUCCAUUAGUUCAUUAUUUUUGAUGGAUUACGAAAGACAGACAAUAAAAUUCUCCAAAACUGUUGUAAGAGUAAUAUUGUAAAAGUUACAUAAAAGUGAGGAUAAGGAUAAUUUGAGGUAUGUUUCAAGAUAUAAAGAUUAAAUAAAUUCUUAACUCAAAAUAAAGAGAUUUAUUUUUUUUAAAAGAGAUUAAAAUGUCAUGAUAAAUAAAUAAGGGAGGUGAUAUUCUGGGCUCUCCCCUGGCUUUUUGUGAUAACAUCUUAAAUUAAUAUAAAUAGUUAAAAUUUUAUUAAAAAAUAAAUUUUUACCUAAUACUCUUUGACAUAGCUAGGAAUAUAGCCUACUUGCAAGAGACUUACAUUCGUUUGCACAGCCCUUUCGUGAAUAUAAAAUUGCUGCCGAAUAAGCAUCUAAUUAAAAGAAUUAGGAAUUUGUCAACGGUAUAAAUUAAAUAUAAAAAACGAGUAAAAGAAUUUGUCAAUGGGAUAUGGGGGGCUAUGGCUUCAAUCGUAGGGGUGGGCAAAUUUCGGAUUCCGAAUCCGAUCGGAUUUUGGAUAAUUCGGAUUGGGAAAAAAUCCAUCCAAAUUCAAUCCGAACCUUAAAUCUGUUUCGAUCCGAGAUAAUUUCGGAUCCGGAUCAGAUUCGGAUGAGUUUGAAUUUCAGAUUAUAUUUCAAGUUCGGAUUAUAUUUUGGAUUCGGAUUAAUUCGGGUUUGGGACCUUUUUACAAUUCUCACAAAAAAAUUAUGAAAUUUAUAAUUAAUGAAAAAUAAUUUCCAUGAUGCUGUCAACAAUAAUUAAUAUUUUGAAAACGCAAUAACGGAAUUUUCAAAAAAAAGAAAAAGAAAACACAGGAACGGUAUUGAUAAAGAAUUUUCAUUAGCCAUUUGUGACUGCUAACUAAAUUGUAACAACUAAGUAAAAUAUAAUAAUAAUAAUAAUACAUGCGGGUAUAUUCAAAGCAACUAAAUCACUUGCGAAUGAUCAAGACAAAUCGUAUAAACAAGUAAAAAAUUCAAAGUUUCAAACGCAAAUCGUCGGGGGCUAUCGGAUUAGUGGAUUACCAUUAACAAGACGAGGUUUAUGUCGGUGUGAGUUGCUCAUUGUGGGUCUGGAUGAUGUCGCGAUGGCUGGGUUUGUGCCAACUAUGAUCCAGCUAGGUUUGUAUCGAAUCUGAUCUCGUCUAGAGGACGUUGUGGCGGCUGGGUUUGUGUCGAAUUCAUUCGGUUUGUCUCGUCGGCGACAUGGUUGUUGGUUGGCUCGUCAGGUUGUGGCCCGUGGGUGUGGUGUGGUUUGUUGUCGUGGAUUGACUUAUCAAAGGGCGUGCGACGAUGGUGUGUGGUUUUGUCAUUUGGAAAUUGAGUUUUGAUUUUUCAUUUUCGUUUUUUUAAAAAAAAAUUUUUGGAUUAUUCGGAUUGAACUGAAUCUUAUCCGAUCCAAAUCAAAUCCGAUCAGAUUACAAAAAUUUCAUCCGAUUGGAUUUUAAAGCAAAUCCAAAUCCGAUCCGAACAAAUUCGGAUCGAAUUGGAUUAGAUCGGAUCUAUCCGAAUCUGAUCCAAUGUCCACCCCUAUUCAAUCGGUUUCUGCAAUGGUUAAUGGCAUAUUUUUGCUCAUCGUCACCACUGCAUUCACUAAUCAUUUGUGCACGUGAAUUGUUUUUGAGCAUUUAUUUUGCCUUCGUUAAAAUUGGGCAUGUAAAAAUUUCAUGAAAAAUGGCCAAAGUGGCUGGCUAGGUGAUAUAAUGGAUGGUUACAACUCAAACCUAGCAAUAAAUGAAUGUCCGACAAGCAUUCAAAUGAAUGUAUAAAACCAAUGAGAUUAGAAUAUCUAUUUAUAAUAGACUAAUUAAAAUACGAUUCAAAUAUAAGGUAAAUAGUCUCUCUAUUAAUUUUUUAUUGUUUCAGGUAGGGUUGUCGAGCCUUUGUCCGGGCUUCUGUAAGCCCAUUUCCAGCCCUCUUAUAUGAUUGGAUUAGAUCAGGCUCGGCCCACCAGGCCGGGCUAAAUCUUGAGCUCUUUUUAAAUAAAAAAAAGUUGAAUUUUAAGUUUUUGAAGUUAAUAUAUAUACACACACACUUGUACUUAAAUAAUUUAUAAAUUUUUUAAAAGCCAAAUAAUAAAAAUAUUGACAUGUAAAAGUACAAUUUUUUUUUCAUGUGGAAUAAUUAUCUCAUUUCUACCUUUUUGGUCCUAUAGAUAUUUCCUCAUUUCAUCUUUGGUAUUAGAGCAGUAGUAAAAAGACACACGAUUAAAGAUAAAUGUGACAUUUUUACCGACAAAUUAACUAUUUGGAUCUAAGAUCUAGCUCUAAUGGUAAAGACUAGUUUUUAUAGAAUUCAGGUCCUGGGUUUGACUUCCAAUUGCGUGGGUAAGCUAAUAAUAAUAAUAAUAAUAAUAACAAAUUAACUAGUUUUAAUUUGCAAAGGUCUUAGAUAAUCAAUUCGUUUGUAAAAACAUCAAAUUUAUUUUCAGUAAUGAAAUUUUCAAGUCACUGGUUUUAGCACUAGGAAUGAAUUAAAUAGAGUAAUGAUAAACAUCUUAAAAUUUUAUCCCAAAUGAUAUGACAUGUAAUGUGUCAUUUAUUAAGUGGUUGGUGAUUUUUCAUAAAUUUUAAGUCGAUUAAUUAUAUUAUUUCACCAACCAAUAAAUGAACAUCACAUCAUUUGAGAAUGAAUUUUAAGGUAAAAUUUUAGAUAUAUAUCAUUACUCAAUUAUUUUUUAUAGUAUAAAAUCUAAUAGGGACCAAAAAUAUAAAAACCAAUUAAGAAAAAAAAAGUCAAUUCCUAAUUAGAAGAAUGAAAGUGUCAUUCUCCUAUAAUCAUUUCUCAAGUUUUUAUAUAAAUUUAUUAAUGCAAAAUUUUAAAAGAAAAUCGGUACCUAAAACUAACGCCUUUGACAAUGCUGCCAAUAUCACUCACAACUUACAAGAAUAAAGAAUUUGUAUUAAAUUUAUUAAUGUUCUCAAAGAAUUUUUAGUUUUGACUUUACAUUCUCAGACCCAUUUGUCACAUAACAUCUUAGCUGAUUAACAAAGCCCUUUCGUGAGAAUAUUAAAACUGCUCUCGAAUAAGCAUCUUAACAACCCCGUUUUUGACAUACAUGCAUGCCUCCUCAUGUCAGCAAAUUUGAAACAUAAAAGAUAAUUUCAAUCGAUGUGAGAGUUGGGAGUAUUUUAUAGCUUUUGACCUCAUUAAUUAUGAGUAAGAGAAUAUUUCUACGUCACUAAUGAUUAAAAUGAUCACUAUAUAUAUAAAGGGUAGCAAAGUAUGUUUAACAUCAAGUCAGAAAACACAAUUUUUAGGAAAUGGGAACUCGGGGACAGGCGAGGCAAUGGCCUCAAUUGUUUUGUGCUAUAGCAUUUUUGCUUAUAGCCACCACGACCAAGGCAUCGGCUGAUGAUUAUGCCUCAGCACCACCACCAAAGUAUUCUUCUCCACCUCUUUACUACUACAAAUCACCACCUCCUCCUUCUCCCUCUCCACCUCCACCAUAUUAUUACAAGUCUCCCCCACCACCAUCUCCGUCUCCUCCACCACCUUACUACUACACGUCACCACCGCCACCAGUGCAUUCUCCCCCGCCACCUUACUACUACAAGUCACCACCGCCACCAGUGCAUUCUCCUCCGCCACCUUACUACUACAAAUCUCCGCCGCCACCAAAGCAUUCUCCCCCGCCACCUUACUACUAUAAGUCACCACCACCACCAGUGCAUUCUCCCCCGCCACCUUAUUACUACAAAUCUCCGCCGCCACCAAAGUAUUCUCCCCCGCCACCUUAUUAUUACAAAUCUCCGCCGCCACCAAAGCAUUCUCCUCCACCACCUUACUACUACAAAUCUCCACCACCACCAAACCAUUCUCCCCCACCACCUUACUACUAUAAGUCACCACCACCACCAAAGCAUUCUCCCCCACCUCCUUAUUACUACAAAUCUCCACCACCACCAAUGUAUUCUCCACCACCACCUUACUAAUACAAAUCUCCGCCAUCGCCAUCUCUAUCCCCGCCUCCAUCUUACAUUUAUAAAUUCCCACAACCAUCAUCUAUACCACCUCCACCAUGACCUCUAUCACGGUCAUUAUUGCUUCCUUACUACUCCAAGUCACCGCCAACUCCUUUAUCUCCACCUUCACCGUAUUACUACAAUCACCCCCACCUCCCAAAGACUACUACGUUCAGUAUCCCUUCUUGAAACAAGUUUAAAAUUCAAUAAGAAUAAAUUUGUUCCUUUGGUUGCCUUUUUUUUUAAUUUUUUACUAAGUUCAAUGCCCCUUCUUGAAACAAGUUUCAAAUUCAAUAAGAAUAAAUUUGUUCCUUUGGUUGCCUUUUUAUGCUUUUUUGUGUCAAUUUUUUUACAAAUAAUUUGUAAGAAGCGUUCAGUGCAUCAUUUGUCAUGUGCAAUAAAAAUCUUCUAACUUAAUGUAUCCCCAAAAAAAAAAAAAAAAAUUGUUCUAUAAGAAUUAUUCUAUUGUUUUAUCACAAAUGUGUUGUGGCGCAUAUAAUGCUCCCGGAUGAAGUAAUAUUAUGUCUUGAUGAACAAUCAUGCACAACAAUGAUCAUGUACAUAGUUCUUCCAACGUCAUGAUAAUGUCCAUGCACAUAAUAACAAACUUCUUCCUCAUAAUAUCAAAGAAAAUGAAGAUACAAGCCUCUUAUUCUUUAGUCAUUCACUCAAACAACAUUGUUUUAACUUAGGUUUUGAUCAAUCUUAAUGCUAAUAAAUGCUAACUACAUAUCAAAUACAAGAUCAACAAAAACCAGAUUUUAAAUUAAUCAGAAAAACAAACACUAGACUUAACCAAGCAGUUAAGCUUUAUUAUUCUCCCUCAGUAAAGGAUACAAAGAUGUAGGUGGAUUACAAGCUAUCACUGAAAAAAUAGAAAUCAUCUAAAAUGGUGAACAAAUGAGCUCUAAAUCUGUUGCACUCAUUUGUUCAACUAAGCAAUGAAAUUACCCUUUUCUAUUUUAACUGCUUGUCUACUUUAACACGGCAACUUUAAAUAACAACCUUCAACUUGAAAAAUUUGAGUAACCAGAGCCAUCAAUAACGGUAAAUCUUGACAAAAAUUUUAGUUUAAUUAAGGCCAUAAACAUAAUAUUAAAUAAUAAAAAAAAAAGGCCAUAAACAUAGUGUUGAAAUACCAUUAUACCUGUGAACGAACUUUUGAUGGUUAUUAAACUCAUGAACCCUCAAUUUUUGUAUUAUGAAUAUGCUCAUGGCCUAUCUUAGGUCUCCUCUAUGAACCACUUUUUUUUUAAAAAAAUUAUAUUCAUUAUGAUACUAAGGUAUAAGUAGAAGUAAAGUUCUUUUAAUAUUUUUGUAACCAGGAUGUGACAACCUAGGUGAUACGUGAAUUGGUUAUUUGCACAUUUUGCUACAUUUUUGUGAGUUUGCUUGCUGGUUUUCUCUUUGUUCCAACAAUUCACACAUAGGAUAAUCUCAUUUUAACAAAGAAAGAUACCACUAAAAUACAACAAAACAUGAUCAAUUCUAAUAUACUAGAAAACUUUUUUUUUUUGUUUGCCUUUUCAUAUAUUAGAGUUGUGUUUUUGUUAUCUUAUAGUGGCAUCUAUGCAGUUUAACUAAAUGAGAAUAUUCUCAUUUGAGAAUUAUUAAUAAGAGAGUAGUAGACAAAUGAUACCCAACUAUACUGCUUCACUAUUAACAACACAUCCAAUUGAGUAAUGAUAGAGAGUCAAUUCUAUCACCAAAUGAAAGCAAACAAAAGCUGAAAUAUUUUAGUGAAUAUCUUUAAAGUUUGAAUUAAUAAUAAAAUUGUCCCAAAAAACUGUCUUAAUGGAACUAAUGUGCGAUUUAUUUGUAGGGUGAAUAAAUAUCAUUUUCCAGAAAAAAAUAUAGUCAAAAUAUGGAAAGCUUGUUCUGCAAGUGGUUGAUAUUGAUGUACAUUAAUGUCAAAGAUACAUUAAGUGCAUGCCAAAUUCUAUUAUAAAAUUUAUAAAUGUAUAAGUAGAAGAUUUUAUAAAUUAAUUCCUGUAAAACGUCGGUUAUAUGAAUAAAUGGUGAAGAGAAAGCUGUAAUAAUUAUCGUAAUUACAAUUUUCUUGAGCACGCUUUGACGUACGAUUAACAAAAAAGGUCUGUAUAUGAGCAAUCGGCCGUACAUUAUCUUAACCACCUGAUUUUGUUUUUUUUUUUUGUAAUUUCAAUCUUGGCCGUUGGAGUCAAUGAAAAGAUCGUUCAAAUGGUAGAGAUUUGUCUAUUUGAUUAUUAACAUUAUGCUUCCCGAUGGUUAUCAAAAACCCAAACAAAUUAAAGAGUUAAAACUUUUAGCACAUAAGUCCGAAUUGUUUCAAAUUUAUGUUGUUUAAUCACUAGUGAGUCUCAAAAAAUAAAUUUAUUUUAAUAUUAUAUAUUUUAUUUAAAAGAAUUAAUUUUUUAUAUCAUUUAUUUUAUUAAAAAUAAAUAUUAUUGAAUACUAAUUAUUCUCAUUUUAUUUAAUAUUAUUUAGUUAUAGGCUUAUUAUUAUAUUUAAUUGUUCAAAAAACUAAAAAAAUUUAAAUAAAAUAAAGUAAUUGAUGGUUGUCGAAGCCAACAAAAAUAAAUUCCUACUCUAAAUAAAUUGUGUAUAGUGAUUGAGCAGGGUCGUGUCCACAGAGAUCGGUAAUUAUUUAAAUCCUUUUGAAACGUAAAACGUAAAAUGGGGGAAUUGUUGACAAUAAUAAAAAUCAAAUUAAAAUAACAAGAAUGCAAAUUAAAGUUGUAAUUCAAAUUGGAGAAAGCUCUGGUUGAAGGAAUUAACUCAGCUUGAUUCGACUACUGAUCAUUGAUUCAAAUAUAGAUUAUUAUUACUCAUGAAUAGACCGGUUAUAGCUACUGAGACCCUCUAAUAGCCAAUCUCUCCUUAACUAGUCGAUAACCAAGGUACGACCGUUGGAUAUUCCCUAAUCAAUAGACAACCCUAGAUACGAUCAUAGAAUUUAAUCAAUUGACAGCCUGAAAAACCAGAAAGACCCAAAUCCUAAUCAACACAUAUGAUGAUUCAUUUAAAUUAAAUUGUUUAUUCUCACAACACAACUCUCUGCUAUGUCAUUUGUCACAAACAUUAAAUUCUUCAUACGAUGAAUCCCUUAAUUGACAAUAGAUUAAGUUGAUAAUUAAAUAGUGGCCAACUGCUGUACGGCCAAGGCGGAUGUACGGUACAGCAGAAUACAUUCCCUUACUCAACUAACAAAGUCUUUCAUUUAUCUGAAAACAGUUCCAAUUUUGAAAUAUCAGUGUCAAACUUUUCCCAGCAACAUAUUUAUCAUCUCUCCACAUUAUCCUUAACUGACAGCAGCUUGGAAGAUCUUCAAUCAGCAAGUUCAGAAAGCAAUGAACAAGUACCUUCUGUUUCUGCACACACAAAUAAUCUGCAUCAACAAGAGCAUUCUNNNNNNNNNNNNNNNNNNNNNNNNNNNNNNNNNNNNNNNNNNNNNNNNNNNNNNNNNNNNNNNNNNNNNNNNNNNNNNNNNNNNNNNNNNNNNNNNNNNNNNNNNNNNNNNNNNNNNNNNNNNNNNNNNNNNNNNNNNNNNNNNNNNNNNNNNNNNNNNNNNNNNNNNNNNNNNNNNNNNNNNNNNNNNNNNNNNNNNNNNNNNNNNNNNNNNNNNNNNNNNNNNNNNNNNNNNNNNNNNNNNNNCAGCAGAAUAAAAUAUUAUUAAUUUUAUUUUUUUUAUUUUGCUAUCUUACUAAUAAUUGGCAAUAAUAAUAAUAAUAAUAAUAAUAAUAAUAAUAUCUUUAAGGUUAAUGAUUUUAUUUUCUAAUUAAUAUGGAUAAUUUUAGAUUUUUAUAAUAUAUAUGACGAUAAACACGAAAUUAAGUAUAAAACUAAUUCUCAAAAUCCGAUUUUAAAAAUCUACUUUUUCCCUACUUUUUAAAAUCUUCAGUAAGAUAAGGUAAAUUUACCAAAAGUGAUUUCUGAAAAUAUUUAUCAAAUAAUAAAAUUAAUUUGUAACUUUUCAAAAUAACUUUUAAAUCUCGCAAAAAAAAAUCCUAAAUGAGUCCUAAGUACCUAACUUUAUGACGGUCAACAAAUAUGGUAUAAAAGUCUUCUACACCUACUGGGCAUUUGAAUGGGCCAUCUGUCUUAGCUCUUACCUCUUAAAAUGGGCUAAAAAUCAGAGAGUCAGUUAACUAAUAUGGGCUAAAAUUUGGGUACACCUCUCGGGCAUGUUAAUGGGCCAUCAUCUUUCACAGGUUUCUAAAGGGUAAAGGCUUUCUGUCUCCCAAGACUUCGACUAGUGAAAUUUAAUCGAUAUAAAUAUGUAGCUACCUAUAUUUAUAUAAGAAAAUGAUGUUCUCAUAAAUUUGCGUGCAAAGAUUUGCACAAAACGGUGCGUUUUGUGCAGCUUUAAAAAUGCUCUUCGUACGUGCACCAAACAACACACAAGCACGCCAAUUCACAACAUCAUUUUCCCACUCGCGUCUGCCUCCUUUCACUGCAACAAAAACCCAGCAGCUUCGUUCUCCACACAGCAAGAAGUCUCCUUAUUAAUAUAAUAUUAUAUAAUAAACUCAACAGAAGUCUCCUUUCUUCCUCCAUUUUUCCUCACGAGAUAGCUCCGAUCUCUCUCCCUCCGUCCUCCUUUCUUCCUUACAAGACAGCUCGGGUCUCUCUCUCUGGCCUCCUUUCUCCCUCACAAGAUAGUUCGGAUCUCUCUUUCCAGUCUCCACGCCGCUAAUAGUCCCAGUUCUAACCUCUCUCGCCCCGCAGCAACCAUAAGAUCUCUCUCUCACCCGUUUCAAUUCAUUGCUCUAAUUGAAAUCUUUAACUCGUUUAGGACAUUGUGCUGAAUUACCUAUGGAUGGUGGUGGUCUUAUGCUUGAGUGUUGUAAAUUAGAAUCAAAUUAUGCAAAACCUGAUGCCUUUGGGAAUCAUGUUUAUUUCAAGCUUCUAUGUUGUGAUUUGAUUAUUUGAUGAAGCACCUGGAAAAUGUAGUUUGCUCCCUCAAAUUAUUUUACUCUGUUGAAUAAAUUGUAUUUGCCAUUAUUUGAAAAGAAUUUAAAAAAAAAUUACAGCCCCGAAACAUUGAGCUUAUGCUAUAAUUUAAGCAUCUCCCUCAUUUAUAGCACAUUUAUUUUCAUAAUUUACGCGACAAUGGAGAACGGAGCCGAGACUGUUAGUGGCAUGGGGAUGAGAGAGAAAAAUAUGAGCUGUUUCGUGAGGUUUUGUUAGGUUUCGUGAGGGAGAAAGGAGAUGGGAGAGAGAGACGCUGAGUUUUGUUGCUCCCCUCACUUGUGUGUGUUUGGUGUUAAAACUUUGCAGCAAAGAGUGGCUUUUAUACUUUGCACAAAACGCACCGUUUUGUGCAAAGUUUUGUGCAAAGUGUUGUGAGAACAUCAUUUUCCAUUUAAAUAUUGGCUUUUCAUUUUUUUUCAAAUGAGAAUUGAUCCAGUGUGCACCAUCAUGCACAGCACAAGGUAUAUUUUCAUCAGUGGGCGCUAGGUCUCAUAGAUUGGUUCUCUCUAAUAAGAACAUGUCGUCUGUUGUCCCGCGCUAGAUCGAAUGCGUUUUCAAAUUUGUCAAAUUACAUUUUGAGCAUGUCAUAGUGGACGUUAUUACAAAGUCGUCAAUCUCAAUACAAUAAUCAUGACAUCAGGUUUUGAGAAUGUGAAUAAAACUCAUAUUUAUUUGAUAAAAUAUAAUUUAAAAAUAAAAAUAAAAUAUGUAUAUUCUAUAUAAUUUGAUAAUAAAAAAUAGAAAUCUCAUUUUUAUAUUGGGUUGGGAAUGAGGAUUCCUAUUUCUUGAACUGACUUUUAUAUCUCUCUAUUUUUUUCAUAUUUUUUAAAUUAUUCUCGUUUAAAUCACAAUUAAUUUGAUUACUGCUGUACGGCCAAGGCGGAUGCAAUAGAAUUGCACCUACAAAAGUAAAACAUAAGUAAAUCACUAUUAUUAAGUGCAAAACAUUGAUAUUAAGGGAAGUAAAUAAUGCAAAACUAGUGCAUAAAUUGCACUCUAACAGUAAUCAGUAAUCAGCAUUAAAAAUUAAAUUAAAUUAAAUUUUUUUGUUUUUAAUAUUAUUUAGUUAUAGACUUAUUAUUAUAUUUAUUCGUUCAUAAAACUAAAUAAUGUUAAAUCAAAUAAAAUAAUCAGGAAUGGUUCUUAAAAAAUUAAUAUUAUUUAUUUUAUUUUAUUUAAUAUUAUUUAGUCAUAGCCUAUUAUUCUGUUUAUUUUUUGAAAAUUAAAUAAUAUUAAAUAAAAAUCCCCCCUUUUCACAAUAGAUUCCUCCCUUCAAUACUCUCUCUCUCCUCUCUUUUAGAAUUCUAUUUAAAAUAAAAUACUAAUAUCUGAAAUAUUAAAUUCGUAAUUACAAAAAUAACCAAAAAUACAAAAUACGUUAAACUAAAAACUGCAGGUCCGCAGUUGACAGCACGCGCCCACGCCUUAUCAACAAAGUUCUUCUGACGCUCAUAAUUUCUCCAAGAGAACAAUCAUCCUUAAACAUCAUCUUAUAGCUCAAUUUUAUCAUCAAUCAAUAGAAUUACACCUACAAAAGUAAAACACAAGUAAAACAUUAUUAUUAAGUGCAAAACAUCGAUAUUAAGGGAAGUAAACAAUGCAAAACUAGUGCAUAAAUUGCACUCUAACAAAUUCCCCCACACCAAGAUGAUGCUUGUCCUCAAGCAUAUAACUCAAGACUAAUCUCAAAUCUCCACUAAAUUCUCAUCUCAACUCAUCCAAAAAUAAUUUUAAGCAAGCAUACCUCAAGAAAUUAAGUCGAUCAACAUUCGAGAGACAAGGAUUUUUAAAGCAUAGAAUCUCAUAAGAUAGAAUAAGAACAUUCAACCACCAAGAAGAUCCAUUCAAAAUUCAAGUGCAACAAGAUGUAAUAGCCCUCUCAAUAACUUCACUCCAUGCACUCAAAGUGUUUAGGGUAUCAUUUAUGCACUCAAAUCAAAUCAAAGAAUGCUAUUACCAUAAGCUUGCUCAUAUAUCACAUCUCAAUCCACAAAACAUGAAUAAAAUGAAAAAAUCUAAGGGUCUUAAAAGGGUUGUAAUGGGGUUAAAUAGGUUAAAUGAAAAAGAAAGGUCUAUGAAAGAAAAAGAGAUCAAAAUGAGAAGAAUGAACUCAUUGAAUGAACUUAUGAUAUCAAAAUGCUCCUUGGCCGUACAGCAGGAAUGGUUCUUAAAAAAUUAAUAUUAUUUAUUUUAUUUUAUUUAAUAUUAUUUAGUCAUAGCCUAUUAUUCUGUUUAUUUUUUGAAAAUUAAAUAAUAUUAAAUAAAAUAGAAUAGAAAAUGUGAGUCCUUAAAAAUAAAAAUUAUUUUUAAUAUUAUUUAUUUUAUUUAAAAGAAUAAAUUUUUUAAUAUUUUUAUUUUAUUAAAAAAUAUUAUUUAAUAUUAUCUAGUCAUAGGCUUAUUAUUAUAUUUCUUCUUUUAGAAAGUUAAAUAGUAUUAAAUGAAAUAAAAUUACAUUUUAGAAGGUCAUUAGCCAAAGCACAUAAACUUAUAAACAAAUGGAAAUAAAAAAGGUAAAUAAUAUUCAAUAAAAUAAAAUUACAUUUUAAAAGGUCACCAACCAAAGCACAUAAUAUUAUAACAAAAAUGUAAAUAAAAAAGAAAGUAAGAGAUUCAAUGAAAUUUAACAUCACAAAAGACAAUUUCAAAAAUUGGGGGUAGCUUGCAACUGUUGCAAAGUGGCUGGUUCCAUAAUUUUGAGAUAAUGUUUCGGUUUCAAAUAUUGUUAUCGAUACCUAAUUAUAAGUAAUAAAAAAAUAUUGUAUAAUUUUUUUACCAACAUUUACAAUACAUUUUAUUUUGAUUUCUGAAAAAAAUAGAUAAAACACAAAUUAAUUAUUUUAACCCUCUAUUCUCUCAAUAUUUAAACUCGAAUAAUCAGUUAAAAGUUGCUCGAGAAUGUUUAAAAGCCAUUUAAGUAUACCACGUCAUUCAUGUUUUGCAAUCAUUCAAUUGUUAAUAAGUUUCCCAUGUGCUGAAAAUAAAUAAAAAUGCACGUGCAUAUGUCAUAUUGUCUCCGAAACCUCACAGCGGAAUGAGUGUAGUACUUGCAAUGCAUGUACUUUAGACUUUGUAUUUCUCUUAUUUAAAUGAUCAAUAAUUUUUCUUUGUCCUUUAAUUAGACGUCAACAGUCGAAGUUGUGGGCAAGUAGUAGGCUAUAUAUAAUAAUUUCCUGGAGAUCUUCCGUCUUCUAAGACAUUGCAAAUGCCAAACGUGAUAACUAUUUUGAUAAUUCAAAUACUACAUAAAAUAUAUGAAGUGUCAGACAAGUCAAAAGAAUUGAUUCUUCACAAUUGUAUAUACGUAUACACACACUUUGCCCAAAUCCCAUUGUAUCCAGGCUGUAAUUUUUAUAUUAAACGAACAUAUUUUAUUUUAUGUCAGCAAUAUUGAUGCAGGCUGGUGGAACAACAGCUUCAGGAUGGUCAACUACCCUUCGGAUCAUUGCAAGUGGGAUGGCAUCACUUGCAAUUCAGAUGGAACCAUAAUCGGGCUAAAAUUAUCAGGGUAUGAUGUUGACUUCAAAAGGUAGUCUUCGUAAAAUUAUCAUGGUAUAAUAUACGUAUUUAUUUUCGCAUACAUAAAUAAAUAACAAAAUUGUAAUUAAUUGGAUACAACUUCAGCUUUUGGACUGGUUUGUGAAAAUCGGAAAAAUUUAAAAAUGCUCCUCUUGAACAAUCAAAAUCUACUUUAUACGUGAACAAAGGGGAUGAUUCGUAAAGAUAAUUCAUCAAUGUUUGAUUACUUUCAGAAAGAUAGACUUCAUUUGAUCUCGUCCCAAAGCAUAAUUUCACUUUGAAUUUGAAAAAGAAUAAUGAAGUUCAUACGAUGCUGUUGUGACCUUUUUUUUUUGUUUUCUUUUUUUCUCGACGUUGUUUUGUGAAUCAUAAGGGUUAAUUUAGUACGGUGGGUUCGCUUGUAUGAAGCGUACUUAUUGUACCAUUCUGUUGCAAGUAAUGAAAAAACGCUAUAAUUUUUUUUAGGUUUCUACAAGUAUUAUGUUAUCUUAUAUCUAACUGUGCAUCUCUAUUCUUUGCUCUCAGUUCAGGUUCUCUAAAAGUAUAUUAAUUAUGAAAAGCAUUAAAGGUUCCGAAACUCUAUUUUGCGGGGAAAAAGAACCUCCAUUUUUGGUUUUUUAUUAUCAUAAGAGGUUUUACUAUGCUCGUAAUAACUUAAUCGAAAUUAAACAUAUCACUGGUCUACAUUUUUUUAUCAGAUUUUGUGCCUUGCUAAUUAAGAUGAGUAUCACCAUCAAAUCAACAAGCUUAUACCUUCAAAGAAAAAUAGACUAUAAGUCGGGAGAAAGAAGAAGAAAAAAAAAAAGAAGCUUCGCAAUUUAUGCUGUUGGUUGUGAGUUCAUGAAACAAAUAAAAAUAUGAAAUCAAACAUUUAUCCAAAAUUUAAAAUUAAAAAAAAACUCUAUAUCUACAGUAAUCUGUUCAAACCACAUAGGUGGAGCAAUAGAGUUCCAAGACGUGGUUUUAAAACAUGUCUUUGUGAUAAACAAUAUCGUGAUACUUGCGCCAAUUCCCAUGCCAAUAAUUGCCUACAUUUAUCCAAGAUCCAUGGCCAGGUUUAGAAUGUGCUAGUCUUCUUUCACUUUCAUAAAUAACCACUACUAGGUAAUCAGAGUGUCGGUCUAAAUUUUUCGGAGAUACAACGUCAAUGUAUGUGCCCGGAGUUGAAGCUGAACGCGCUUAAAUAUGUUCGGAAUUUGAAGUUGAACGCCUGGAAAAGGAUGCAGACUGAAGAAAGGCAAUUCCUGGAAUUUGUCUUUGGUAAGAAAACAUGGCUGCUUAUGCCCUUUGAAAGACUGAAGAAACCAAAUUGAUUAUUGCUGCAAUUUAGUGGCACGUGUACAAGGAGAGGCAUCCGAUUAAACUUGUUCAUAAAAUUAUUGCUGAUAGUUGCAGCCGAUCUCCAUGAAGUACAAACCCAACGCAAAGAAACAAAGUGUUCGUACAAUUUUAUCCGCCAGCAAUUUCGACCAAGAGACCUUGAUGCAGUUCAGACCAAUUCGCCAGUUGAACAUCAAGUUGCCUAGGCAUUGAGAAUUAGGUCAAUAAAAUAUAUCCUGGGUCACUUACAAAAGAUGAAAUAAGUGAAAAAGGAAAGAUGACGUAAUAAUUUCUUAGUGAGAAAAGUUAGUUAAUUUUCAAUUGCUUUCAUUGUUUUGAUAAUUUUCAAAACAUUUCAUUGCUUUCAUUGCGUAAUUAAGCUUUUUUUGCUUCAAAAUAUUUCAAAUUGUGUUUGUGGGACUACUAAACAAUUAGGACACAACAAUGUUUCGUUCUGGUCUUUUUUUUUUUUUACUUUUUAAUUUAUUUUAAGAAAAUCUUUGUCCAUCUCUCAUCCUGCCAAAUAUAUCGUCUCGUCUUGUUAUCUAGAAUAAUUCUUCAUGCAUCAAUGAGUUUUGACAAAUUUUUAUCUUUUAAAAGUUGUUGUAAUUCAAUAUAGCUAAAAUCUUAAAUACAUACAUGUAGAAUAAUCUAAGCAUUACCUUAUUCGGGGAAAAUCGAGAUUAGAAUCAAUCAAAGCAAUGAUACCUUAUAUCAGUGAGAUAUAUGCAAGACUCACCCAUUGGUACAAACGAAAAUGAUCAAAGUGGAAGCAAAAAUGGAAUCCUCAAAUGUGGUGAUAAUUUAGAUGAUCUCCACUCUCCAUUUGGUUUCAUCUAAUAAGUUAGUGUUUAAUUAAGAAUUUAUUACUCAUUUUAUUAUGAUAUUAAUCAACUGCCGUCCCUUCCAUUAGUUCAUUAUUUUUGAUGGAUUACGAAAGACAGACAAUAAAAUUCUCCAAAACUGUUGUAAGAGUAAUAUUGUAAAAGUUACAUAAAAGUGAGGAUAAGGAUAAUUUGAGGUAUGUUUCAAGAUAUAAAGAUUAAAUAAAUUCUUAACUCAAAAUAAAGAGAUUUAUUUUUUUUAAAAGAGAUUAAAAUGUCAUGAUAAAUAAAUAAGGGAGGUGAUAUUCUGGGCUCUCCCCUGGCUUUUUGUGAUAACAUCUUAAAUUAAUAUAAAUAGUUAAAAUUUUAUUAAAAAAUAAAUUUUUACCUAAUACUCUUUGACAUAGCUAGGAAUAUAGCCUACUUGCAAGAGACUUACAUUCGUUUGCACAGCCCUUUCGUGAAUAUAAAAUUGCUGCCGAAUAAGCAUCUAAUUAAAAGAAUUAGGAAUUUGUCAACGGUAUAAAUUAAAUAUAAAAAACGAGUAAAAGAAUUUGUCAAUGGGAUAUGGGGGGCUAUGGCUUCAAUCGUAGGGGUGGGCAAAUUUCGGAUUCCGAAUCCGAUCGGAUUUUGGAUAAUUCGGAUUGGGAAAAAAUCCAUCCAAAUUCAAUCCGAACCUUAAAUCUGUUUCGAUCCGAGAUAAUUUCGGAUCCGGAUCAGAUUCGGAUGAGUUUGAAUUUCAGAUUAUAUUUCAAGUUCGGAUUAUAUUUUGGAUUCGGAUUAAUUCGGGUUUGGGACCUUUUUACAAUUCUCACAAAAAAAUUAUGAAAUUUAUAAUUAAUGAAAAAUAAUUUCCAUGAUGCUGUCAACAAUAAUUAAUAUUUUGAAAACGCAAUAACGGAAUUUUCAAAAAAAAGAAAAAGAAAACACAGGAACGGUAUUGAUAAAGAAUUUUCAUUAGCCAUUUGUGACUGCUAACUAAAUUGUAACAACUAAGUAAAAUAUAAUAAUAAUAAUAAUACAUGCGGGUAUAUUCAAAGCAACUAAAUCACUUGCGAAUGAUCAAGACAAAUCGUAUAAACAAGUAAAAAAUUCAAAGUUUCAAACGCAAAUCGUCGGGGGCUAUCGGAUUAGUGGAUUACCAUUAACAAGACGAGGUUUAUGUCGGUGUGAGUUGCUCAUUGUGGGUCUGGAUGAUGUCGCGAUGGCUGGGUUUGUGCCAACUAUGAUCCAGCUAGGUUUGUAUCGAAUCUGAUCUCGUCUAGAGGACGUUGUGGCGGCUGGGUUUGUGUCGAAUUCAUUCGGUUUGUCUCGUCGGCGACAUGGUUGUUGGUUGGCUCGUCAGGUUGUGGCCCGUGGGUGUGGUGUGGUUUGUUGUCGUGGAUUGACUUAUCAAAGGGCGUGCGACGAUGGUGUGUGGUUUUGUCAUUUGGAAAUUGAGUUUUGAUUUUUCAUUUUCGUUUUUUUAAAAAAAAAUUUUUGGAUUAUUCGGAUUGAACUGAAUCUUAUCCGAUCCAAAUCAAAUCCGAUCAGAUUACAAAAAUUUCAUCCGAUUGGAUUUUAAAGCAAAUCCAAAUCCGAUCCGAACAAAUUCGGAUCGAAUUGGAUUAGAUCGGAUCUAUCCGAAUCUGAUCCAAUGUCCACCCCUAUUCAAUCGGUUUCUGCAAUGGUUAAUGGCAUAUUUUUGCUCAUCGUCACCACUGAAUCCACUGAUCAUUUGUGCAUGUGAGUUGUUUUUGAGCAUUUAUUUUUCCCUUUAGAAGCAUAAGGAUAAGGCUAGUCUUCUUUUUGGGAGGACUUAUUGCUUCCAUUCGUUAAAAUUGGGCAUGUAAAAUGUCAAGAAAAAAUGGCCUAAGUGGCUAGCUAGAUGAUAUAAUGGAUGGUUACUACUCAAACCUAGCAAUAAAUGAAUGUCCGACAAGCAUUCAAAUGAAUGAAUAAAACCAAUCAGAUUAGAAUAUCUAUUUAUGAUAGAUUAAUGAAAAUACGAUUCAAAUAUAAGGUAAAUAAUCUCUCCAUUAAUUUUUUAUUGUUUCAGGCAGGGUUGCCAAGCCUCUGUCCGGGCUUCUAUAAGCUCAAUUCCAGCUCUCCUAUAUGAUUGAAUUAGAUCGGGCUAGGCCCUCGGACUUUUUAAUUAAAAAAGGUCGAUUUUUAAGUUUAUGAAGUUAAUACACUCACGCUUAUACUUUAAUAUUUUUAUUAUUUGGCUUUUAGAAUAUUAACGUGUAAAUUACUUUUUUUUUUCAAGUGAAAUAAUUAUCACAUUUUGUCUUCUUAGUAUAUAUUUCUACCUUUUUGUUCCUAUAGAUAUUUCCUCAUUUCAUCUUUGGUACUAGAGCGUAGUAAAAAAACACAUGAUUAAAGAUAAAUAUGACAUUUUAACUAACAAAUUAAUUAUUUGUAUCUAAGAUCUAGCUCUAGUGGUAAAGAUCAAUUUUCAUCGAAUUCAAGUCUUGGGUUUGAAUUUAAAUGCAUGGGUAAGUUAAUAAUAAUAAUAAUAAUAAUAAUAAUAAUAAUAAUAAUAAUAAUAAUAAUAAUAAUAAUAAUAAUAAUAAUAAUAAUAAUAAUAAUAAUAAUAAUAAUAAUAAUAAUAAUAAUAAUAAUAAUAAUAAUAAUAAUAAUAAUAAUAAUAAUAAUAAUAAUAAUAAUAAUAAUAAUAAUAAUAAUAAUAAUAAUAAUAAUAAUAAUAAUAAUAAUAAUAAUAAUAAUAAUAAUAAUAAUAAUAAUAAUAAUAAUAAUAAUAAUAAUAAUAAUAAUAAUAAUAAUAAUAAUAAUAAUAAUAAUAAUAAUAAUAAUAAUAAUAAUAAUAAUAAUAAUAAUAAUAAUAAUAAUAAUAAUAAUAAUAAUAAUAAUAAUAAUAAUAAUAAUAAUAAUAAUAAUAAUAAUAAUAAUAAUAAUAAUAAUAAUAAUAAUAAUAAUAAUAAUAAUAAUAAUAAUAAUAAUAAUAAUAAUAAUAAUAAUAAUAAUAAUAAUAAUAAUAAUAAUAAUAAUAAUAAUAAUAAUAAUAAUAAUAAUAAUAAUAAUAAUAAUAAUAAUAAUAAUAAUAAUAAUAAUAAUAAUAAUAAUAAUAAUAAUAAUAAUAAUAAUAAUAAUAAUAAUAAUAAUAAUAAUAAUAAUAAUAAUAAUAAUAAUAAUAAUAAUAAUAAUAAUAAUAAUAAUAAUAAUAAUAAUAAUAAUAAUAAUAAUAAUAAUAAUAAUAAUAAUAAUAAUAAUAAUAAUAAUAAUAAUAAUAAUAAUAAUAAUAAUAAUAAUAAUAAUAAUAAUAAUAAUAAUAAUAAUAAUAAUAAUAAUAAUAAUAAUAAUAAUAAUAAUAAUAAUAAUAAUAAUAAUAAUAAUAAUAAUAAUAAUAAUAAUAAUAAUAAUAAUAAUAAUAAUAAUAAUAAUAAUAAUAAUAAUAAUAAUAAUAAUAAUAAUAAUAAUAAUAAUAAUAAUAAUAAUAAUAAUAAUAAUAAUAAUAAUAAUAAUAAUAAUAAUAAUAAUAAUAAUAAUAAUAAUAAUAAUAAUAAUAAUAAUAAUAAUAAUAAUAAUAAUAAUAAUAAUAAUAAUAAUAAUAAUAAUAAUAAUAAUAAUAAUAAUAAUAAUAAUAAUAAUAAUAAUAAUAAUAAUAAUAAUAAUAAUAAUAAUAAUAAUAAUAAUAAUAAUAAUAAUAAUAAUAAUAAUAAUAAUAAUAAUAAUAAUAAUAAUAAUAAUAAUAAUAAUAAUAAUAAUAAUAAUAAUAAUAAUAAUAAUAAUAAUAAUAAUAAUAAUAAUAAUAAUAAUAAUAAUAAUAAUAAUAAUAAUAAUAAUAAUAAUAAUAAUAAUAAUAAUAAUAAUAAUAAUAAUAAUAAUAAUAAUAAUAAUAAUAAUAAUAAUAAUAAUAAUAAUAAUAAUAAUAAUAAUAAUAAUAAUAAUAAUAAUAAUAAUAAUAAUAAUAAUAAUAAUAAUAAUAAUAAUAAUAAUAAUAAUAAUAAUAAUAAUAAUAAUAAUAAUAAUAAUAAUAAUAAUAAUAAUAAUAAUAAUAAUAAUAAUAAUAAUAAUAAUAAUAAUAAUAAUAAUAAUAAUAAUAAUAAUAAUAAUAAUAAUAAUAAUAAUAAUAAUAAUAAUAAUAAUAAUAAUAAUAAUAAUAAUAAUAAUAAUAAUAAUAAUAAUAAUAAUAAUAAUAAUAAUAAUAAUAAUAAUAAUAAUAAUAAUAAUAAUAAUAAUAAUAAUAAUAAUAAUAAUAAUAAUAAUAAUAAUAAUAAUAAUAAUAAUAAUAAUAAUAAUAAUAAUAAUAAUAAUAAUAAUAAUAAUAAUAAUAAUAAUAAUAAUAAUAAUAAUAAUAAUAAUAAUAAUAAUAAUAAUAAUAAUAAUAAUAAUAAUAAUAAUAAUAAUAAUAAUAAUAAUAAUAAUAAUAAUAAUAAUAAUAAUAAUAAUAAUAAUAAUAAUAAUAAUAAUAAUAAUAAUAAUAAUAAUAAUAAUAAUAAUAAUAAUAAUAAUAAUAAUAAUAAUAAUAAUAAUAAUAAUAAUAAUAAUAAUAAUAAUAAUAAUAAUAAUAAUAAUAAUAAUAAUAAUAAUAAUAAUAAUAAUAAUAAUAAUAAUAAUAAUAAUAAUAAUAAUAAUAAUAAUAAUAAUAAUAAUAAUAAUAAUAAUAAUAAUAAUAAUAAUAAUAAUAAUAAUAAUAAUAAUAAUAAUAAUAAUAAUAAUAAUAAUAAUAAUAAUAAUAAUAAUAAUAAUAAUAAUAAUAAUAAUAAUAAUAAUAAUAAUAAUAAUAAUAAUAAUAAUAAUAAUAAUAAUAAUAAUAAUAAUAAUAAUAAUAAUAAUAAUAAUAAUAAUAAUAAUAAUAAUAAUAAUAAUAAUAAUAAUAAUAAUAAUAAUAAUAAUAAUAAUAAUAAUAAUAAUAAUAAUAAUAAUAAUAAUAAUAAUAAUAAUAAUAAUAAUAAUAAUAAUAAUAAUAAUAAUAAUAAUAAUAAUAAUAAUAAUAAUAAUAAUAAUAAUAAUAAUAAUAAUAAUAAUAAUAAUAAUAAUAAUAAUAAUAAUAAUAAUAAUAAUAAUAAUAAUAAUAAUAAUAAUAAUAAUAAUAAUAAUAAUAAUAAUAAUAAUAAUAAUAAUAAUAAUAAUAAUAAUAAUAAUAAUAAUAAUAAUAAUAAUAAUAAUAAUAAUAAUAAUAAUAAUAAUAAUAAUAAUAAUAAUAAUAAUAAUAAUAAUAAUAAUAAUAAUAAUAAUAAUAAUAAUAAUAAUAAUAAUAAUAAUAAUAAUAAUAAUAAUAAUAAUAAUAAUAAUAAUAAUAAUAAUAAUAAUAAUAAUAAUAAUAAUAAUAAUAAUAAUAAUAAUAAUAAUAAUAAUAAUAAUAAUAAUAAUAAUAAUAAUAAUAAUAAUAAUAAUAAUAAUAAUAAUAAUAAUAAUAAUAAUAAUAAUAAUAAUAAUAAUAAUAAUAAUAAUAAUAAUAAUAAUAAUAAUAAUAAUAAUAAUAAUAAUAAUAAUAAUAAUAAUAAUAAUAAUAAUAAUAAUAAUAAUAAUAAUAAUAAUAAUAAUAAUAAUAAUAAUAAUAAUAAUAAUAAUAAUAAUAAUAAUAAUAAUAAUAAUAAUAAUAAUAAUAAUAAUAAUAAUAAUAAUAAUAAUAAUAAUAAUAAUAAUAAUAAUAAUAAUAAUAAUAAUAAUAAUAAUAAUAAUAAUAAUAAUAAUAAUAAUAAUAAUAAUAAUAAUAAUAAUAAUAAUAAUAAUAAUAAUAAUAAUAAUAAUAAUAAUAAUAAUAAUAAUAAUAAUAAUAAUAAUAAUAAUAAUAAUAAUAAUAAUAAUAAUAAUAAUAAUAAUAAUAAUAAUAAUAAUAAUAAUAAUAAUAAUAAUAAUAAUAAUAAUAAUAAUAAUAAUAAUAAUAAUAAUAAUAAUAAUAAUAAUAAUAAUAAUAAUAAUAAUAAUAAUAAUAAUAAUAAUAAUAAUAAUAAUAAUAAUAAUAAUAAUAAUAAUAAUAAUAAUAAUAAUAAUAAUAAUAAUAAUAAUAAUAAUAAUAAUAAUAAUAAUAAUAAUAAUAAUAAUAAUAAUAAUAAUAAUAAUAAUAAUAAUAAUAAUAAUAAUAAUAAUAAUAAUAAUAAUAAUAAUAAUAAUAAUAAUAAUAAUAAUAAUAAUAAUAAUAAUAAUAAUAAUAAUAAUAAUAAUAAUAAUAAUAAUAAUAAUAAUAAUAAUAAUAAUAAUAAUAAUAAUAAUAAUAAUAAUAAUAAUAAUAAUAAUAAUAAUAAUAAUAAUAAUAAUAAUAAUAAUAAUAAUAAUAAUAAUAAUAAUAAUAAUAAUAAUAAUAAUAAUAAUAAUAAUAAUAAUAAUAAUAAUAAUAAUAAUAAUAAUAAUAAUAAUAAUAAUAAUAAUAAUAAUAAUAAUAAUAAUAAUAAUAAUAAUAAUAAUAAUAAUAAUAAUAAUAAUAAUAAUAAUAAUAAUAAUAAUAAUAAUAAUAAUAAUAAUAAUAAUAAUAAUAAUAAUAAUAAUAAUAAUAAUAAUAAUAAUAAUAAUAAUAAUAAUAAUAAUAAUAAUAAUAAUAAUAAUAAUAAUAAUAAUAAUAAUAAUAAUAAUAAUAAUAAUAAUAAUAAUAAUAAUAAUAAUAAUAAUAAUAAUAAUAAUAAUAAUAAUAAUAAUAAUAAUAAUAAUAAUAAUAAUAAUAAUAAUAAUAAUAAUAAUAAUAAUAAUAAUAAUAAUAAUAAUAAUAAUAAUAAUAAUAAUAAUAAUAAUAAUAAUAAUAAUAAUAAUAAUAAUAAUAAUAAUAAUAAUAAUAAUAAUAAUAAUAAUAAUAAUAAUAAUAAUAAUAAUAAUAAUAAUAAUAAUAAUAAUAAUAAUAAUAAUAAUAAUAAUAAUAAUAAUAAUAAUAAUAAUAAUAAUAAUAAUAAUAAUAAUAAUAAUAAUAAUAAUAAUAAUAAUAAUAAUAAUAAUAAUAAUAAUAAUAAUAAUAAUAAUAAUAAUAAUAAUAAUAAUAAUAAUAAUAAUAAUAAUAAUAAUAAUAAUAAUAAUAAUAAUAAUAAUAAUAAUAAUAAUAAUAAUAAUAAUAAUAAUAAUAAUAAUAAUAAUAAUAAUAAUAAUAAUAAUAAUAAUAAUAAUAAUAAUAAUAAUAAUAAUAAUAAUAAUAAUAAUAAUAAUAAUAAUAAUAAUAAUAAUAAUAAUAAUAAUAAUAAUAAUAAUAAUAAUAAUAAUAAUAAUAAUAAUAAUAAUAAUAAUAAUAAUAAUAAUAAUAAUAAUAAUAAUAAUAAUAAUAAUAAUAAUAAUAAUAAUAAUAAUAAUAAUAAUAAUAAUAAUAAUAAUAAUAAUAAUAAUAAUAAUAAUAAUAAUAAUAAUAAUAAUAAUAAUAAUAAUAAUAAUAAUAAUAAUAAUAAUAAUAAUAAUAAUAAUAAUAAUAAUAAUAAUAAUAAUAAUAAUAAUAAUAAUAAUAAUAAUAAUAAUAAUAAUAAUAAUAAUAAUAAUAAUAAUAAUAAUAAUAAUAAUAAUAAUAAUAAUAAUAAUAAUAAUAAUAAUAAUAAUAAUAAUAAUAAUAAUAAUAAUAAUAAUAAUAAUAAUAAUAAUAAUAAUAAUAAUAAUAAUAAUAAUAAUAAUAAUAAUAAUAAUAAUAAUAAUAAUAAUAAUAAUAAUAAUAAUAAUAAUAAUAAUAAUAAUAAUAAUAAUAAUAAUAAUAAUAAUAAUAAUAAUAAUAAUAAUAAUAAUAAUAAUAAUAAUAAUAAUAAUAAUAAUAAUAAUAAUAAUAAUAAUAAUAAUAAUAAUAAUAAUAAUAAUAAUAAUAAUAAUAAUAAUAAUAAUAAUAAUAAUAAUAAUAAUAAUAAUAAUAAUAAUAAUAAUAAUAAUAAUAAUAAUAAUAAUAAUAAUAAUAAUAAUAAUAAUAAUAAUAAUAAUAAUAAUAAUAAUAAUAAUAAUAAUAAUAAUAAUAAUAAUAAUAAUAAUAAUAAUAAUAAUAAUAAUAAUAAUAAUAAUAAUAAUAAUAAUAAUAAUAAUAAUAAUAAUAAUAAUAAUAAUAAUAAUAAUAAUAAUAAUAAUAAUAAUAAUAAUAAUAAUAAUAAUAAUAAUAAUAAUAAUAAUAAUAAUAAUAAUAAUAAUAAUAAUAAUAAUAAUAAUAAUAAUAAUAAUAAUAAUAAUAAUAAUAAUAAUAAUAAUAAUAAUAAUAAUAAUAAUAAUAAUAAUAAUAAUAAUAAUAAUAAUAAUAAUAAUAAUAAUAAUAAUAAUAAUAAUAAUAAUAAUAAUAAUAAUAAUAAUAAUAAUAAUAAUAAUAAUAAUAAUAAUAAUAAUAAUAAUAAUAAUAAUAAUAAUAAUAAUAAUAAUAAUAAUAAUAAUAAUAAUAAUAAUAAUAAUAAUAAUAAUAAUAAUAAUAAUAAUAAUAAUAAUAAUAAUAAUAAUAAUAAUAAUAAUAAUAAUAAUAAUAAUAAUAAUAAUAAUAAUAAUAAUAAUAAUAAUAAUAAUAAUAAUAAUAAUAAUAAUAAUAAUAAUAAUAAUAAUAAUAAUAAUAAUAAUAAUAAUAAUAAUAAUAAUAAUAAUAAUAAUAAUAAUAAUAAUAAUAAUAAUAAUAAUAAUAAUAAUAAUAAUAAUAAUAAUAAUAAUAAUAAUAAUAAUAAUAAUAAUAAUAAUAAUAAUAAUAAUAAUAAUAAUAAUAAUAAUAAUAAUAAUAAUAAUAAUAAUAAUAAUAAUAAUAAUAAUAAUAAUAAUAAUAAUAAUAAUAAUAAUAAUAAUAAUAAUAAUAAUAAUAAUAAUAAUAAUAAUAAUAAUAAUAAUAAUAAUAAUAAUAAUAAUAAUAAUAAUAAUAAUAAUAAUAAUAAUAAUAAUAAUAAUAAUAAUAAUAAUAAUAAUAAUAAUAAUAAUAAUAAUAAUAAUAAUAAUAAUAAUAAUAAUAAUAAUAAUAAUAAUAAUAAUAAUAAUAAUAAUAAUAAUAAUAAUAAUAAUAAUAAUAAUAAUAAUAAUAAUAAUAAUAAUAAUAAUAAUAAUAAUAAUAAUAAUAAUAAUAAUAAUAAUAAUAAUAAUAAUAAUAAUAAUAAUAAUAAUAAUAAUAAUAAUAAUAAUAAUAAUAAUAAUAAUAAUAAUAAUAAUAAUAAUAAUAAUAAUAAUAAUAAUAAUAAUAAUAAUAAUAAUAAUAAUAAUAAUAAUAAUAAUAAUAAUAAUAAUAAUAAUAAUAAUAAUAAUAAUAAUAAUAAUAAUAAUAAUAAUAAUAAUAAUAAUAAUAAUAAUAAUAAUAAUAAUAAUAAUAAUAAUAAUAAUAAUAAUAAUAAUAAUAAUAAUAAUAAUAAUAAUAAUAAUAAUAAUAAUAAUAAUAAUAAUAAUAAUAAUAAUAAUAAUAAUAAUAAUAAUAAUAAUAAUAAUAAUAAUAAUAAUAAUAAUAAUAAUAAUAAUAAUAAUAAUAAUAAUAAUAAUAAUAAUAAUAAUAAUAAUAAUAAUAAUAAUAAUAAUAAUAAUAAUAAUAAUAAUAAUAAUAAUAAUAAUAAUAAUAAUAAUAAUAAUAAUAAUAAUAAUAAUAAUAAUAAUAAUAAUAAUAAUAAUAAUAAUAAUAAUAAUAAUAAUAAUAAUAAUAAUAAUAAUAAUAAUAAUAAUAAUAAUAAUAAUAAUAAUAAUAAUAAUAAUAAUAAUAAUAAUAAUAAUAAUAAUAAUAAUAAUAAUAAUAAUAAUAAUAAUAAUAAUAAUAAUAAUAAUAAUAAUAAUAAUAAUAAUAAUAAUAAUAAUAAUAAUAAUAAUAAUAAUAAUAAUAAUAAUAAUAAUAAUAAUAAUAAUAAUAAUAAUAAUAAUAAUAAUAAUAAUAAUAAUAAUAAUAAUAAUAAUAAUAAUAAUAAUAAUAAUAAUAAUAAUAAUAAUAAUAAUAAUAAUAAUAAUAAUAAUAAUAAUAAUAAUAAUAAUAAUAAUAAUAAUAAUAAUAAUAAUAAUAAUAAUAAUAAUAAUAAUAAUAAUAAUAAUAAUAAUAAUAAUAAUAAUAAUAAUAAUAAUAAUAAUAAUAAUAAUAAUAAUAAUAAUAAUAAUAAUAAUAAUAAUAAUAAUAAUAAUAAUAAUAAUAAUAAUAAUAAUAAUAAUAAUAAUAAUAAUAAUAAUAAUAAUAAUAAUAAUAAUAAUAAUAAUAAUAAUAAUAAUAAUAAUAAUAAUAAUAAUAAUAAUAAUAAUAAUAAUAAUAAUAAUAAUAAUAAUAAUAAUAAUAAUAAUAAUAAUAAUAAUAAUAAUAAUAAUAAUAAUAAUAAUAAUAAUAAUAAUAAUAAUAAUAAUAAUAAUAAUAAUAAUAAUAAUAAUAAUAAUAAUAAUAAUAAUAAUAAUAAUAAUAAUAAUAAUAAUAAUAAUAAUAAUAAUAAUAAUAAUAAUAAUAAUAAUAAUAAUAAUAAUAAUAAUAAUAAUAAUAAUAAUAAUAAUAAUAAUAAUAAUAAUAAUAAUAAUAAUAAUAAUAAUAAUAAUAAUAAUAAUAAUAAUAAUAAUAAUAAUAAUAAUAAUAAUAAUAAUAAUAAUAAUAAUAAUAAUAAUAAUAAUAAUAAUAAUAAUAAUAAUAAUAAUAAUAAUAAUAAUAAUAAUAAUAAUAAUAAUAAUAAUAAUAAUAAUAAUAAUAAUAAUAAUAAUAAUAAUAAUAAUAAUAAUAAUAAUAAUAAUAAUAAUAAUAAUAAUAAUAAUAAUAAUAAUAAUAAUAAUAAUAAUAAUAAUAAUAAUAAUAAUAAUAAUAAUAAUAAUAAUAAUAAUAAUAAUAAUAAUAAUAAUAAUAAUAAUAAUAAUAAUAAUAAUAAUAAUAAUAAUAAUAAUAAUAAUAAUAAUAAUAAUAAUAAUAAUAAUAAUAAUAAUAAUAAUAAUAAUAAUAAUAAUAAUAAUAAUAAUAAUAAUAAUAAUAAUAAUAAUAAUAAUAAUAAUAAUAAUAAUAAUAAUAAUAAUAAUAAUAAUAAUAAUAAUAAUAAUAAUAAUAAUAAUAAUAAUAAUAAUAAUAAUAAUAAUAAUAAUAAUAAUAAUAAUAAUAAUAAUAAUAAUAAUAAUAAUAAUAAUAAUAAUAAUAAUAAUAAUAAUAAUAAUAAUAAUAAUAAUAAUAAUAAUAAUAAUAAUAAUAAUAAUAAUAAUAAUAAUAAUAAUAAUAAUAAUAAUAAUAAUAAUAAUAAUAAUAAUAAUAAUAAUAAUAAUAAUAAUAAUAAUAAUAAUAAUAAUAAUAAUAAUAAUAAUAAUAAUAAUAAUAAUAAUAAUAAUAAUAAUAAUAAUAAUAAUAAUAAUAAUAAUAAUAAUAAUAAUAAUAAUAAUAAUAAUAAUAAUAAUAAUAAUAAUAAUAAUAAUAAUAAUAAUAAUAAUAAUAAUAAUAAUAAUAAUAAUAAUAAUAAUAAUAAUAAUAAUAAUAAUAAUAAUAAUAAUAAUAAUAAUAAUAAUAAUAAUAAUAAUAAUAAUAAUAAUAAUAAUAAUAAUAAUAAUAAUAAUAAUAAUAAUAAUAAUAAUAAUAAUAAUAAUAAUAAUAAUAAUAAUAAUAAUAAUAAUAAUAAUAAUAAUAAUAAUAAUAAUAAUAAUAAUAAUAAUAAUAAUAAUAAUAAUAAUAAUAAUAAUAAUAAUAAUAAUAAUAAUAAUAAUAAUAAUAAUAAUAAUAAUAAUAAUAAUAAUAAUAAUAAUAAUAAUAAUAAUAAUAAUAAUAAUAAUAAUAAUAAUAAUAAUAAUAAUAAUAAUAAUAAUAAUAAUAAUAAUAAUAAUAAUAAUAAUAAUAAUAAUAAUAAUAAUAAUAAUAAUAAUAAUAAUAAUAAUAAUAAUAAUAAUAAUAAUAAUAAUAAUAAUAAUAAUAAUAAUAAUAAUAAUAAUAAUAAUAAUAAUAAUAAUAAUAAUAAUAAUAAUAAUAAUAAUAAUAAUAAUAAUAAUAAUAAUAAUAAUAAUAAUAAUAAUAAUAAUAAUAAUAAUAAUAAUAAUAAUAAUAAUAAUAAUAAUAAUAAUAAUAAUAAUAAUAAUAAUAAUAAUAAUAAUAAUAAUAAUAAUAAUAAUAAUAAUAAUAAUAAUAAUAAUAAUAAUAAUAAUAAUAAUAAUAAUAAUAAUAAUAAUAAUAAUAAUAAUAAUAAUAAUAAUAAUAAUAAUAAUAAUAAUAAUAAUAAUAAUAAUAAUAAUAAUAAUAAUAAUAAUAAUAAUAAUAAUAAUAAUAAUAAUAAUAAUAAUAAUAAUAAUAAUAAUAAUAAUAAUAAUAAUAAUAAUAAUAAUAAUAAUAAUAAUAAUAAUAAUAAUAAUAAUAAUAAUAAUAAUAAUAAUAAUAAUAAUAAUAAUAAUAAUAAUAAUAAUAAUAAUAAUAAUAAUAAUAAUAAUAAUAAUAAUAAUAAUAAUAAUAAUAAUAAUAAUAAUAAUAAUAAUAAUAAUAAUAAUAAUAAUAAUAAUAAUAAUAAUAAUAAUAAUAAUAAUAAUAAUAAUAAUAAUAAUAAUAAUAAUAAUAAUAAUAAUAAUAAUAAUAAUAAUAAUAAUAAUAAUAAUAAUAAUAAUAAUAAUAAUAAUAAUAAUAAUAAUAAUAAUAAUAAUAAUAAUAAUAAUAAUAAUAAUAAUAAUAAUAAUAAUAAUAAUAAUAAUAAUAAUAAUAAUAAUAAUAAUAAUAAUAAUAAUAAUAAUAAUAAUAAUAAUAAUAAUAAUAAUAAUAAUAAUAAUAAUAAUAAUAAUAAUAAUAAUAAUAAUAAUAAUAAUAAUAAUAAUAAUAAUAAUAAUAAUAAUAAUAAUAAUAAUAAUAAUAAUAAUAAUAAUAAUAAUAAUAAUAAUAAUAAUAAUAAUAAUAAUAAUAAUAAUAAUAAUAAUAAUAAUAAUAAUAAUAAUAAUAAUAAUAAUAAUAAUAAUAAUAAUAAUAAUAAUAAUAAUAAUAAUAAUAAUAAUAAUAAUAAUAAUAAUAAUAAUAAUAAUAAUAAUAAUAAUAAUAAUAAUAAUAAUAAUAAUAAUAAUAAUAAUAAUAAUAAUAAUAAUAAUAAUAAUAAUAAUAAUAAUAAUAAUAAUAAUAAUAAUAAUAAUAAUAAUAAUAAUAAUAAUAAUAAUAAUAAUAAUAAUAAUAAUAAUAAUAAUAAUAAUAAUAAUAAUAAUAAUAAUAAUAAUAAUAAUAAUAAUAAUAAUAAUAAUAAUAAUAAUAAUAAUAAUAAUAAUAAUAAUAAUAAUAAUAAUAAUAAUAAUAAUAAUAAUAAUAAUAAUAAUAAUAAUAAUAAUAAUAAUAAUAAUAAUAAUAAUAAUAAUAAUAAUAAUAAUAAUAAUAAUAAUAAUAAUAAUAAUAAUAAUAAUAAUAAUAAUAAUAAUAAUAAUAAUAAUAAUAAUAAUAAUAAUAAUAAUAAUAAUAAUAAUAAUAAUAAUAAUAAUAAUAAUAAUAAUAAUAAUAAUAAUAAUAAUAAUAAUAAUAAUAAUAAUAAUAAUAAUAAUAAUAAUAAUAAUAAUAAUAAUAAUAAUAAUAAUAAUAAUAAUAAUAAUAAUAAUAAUAAUAAUAAUAAUAAUAAUAAUAAUAAUAAUAAUAAUAAUAAUAAUAAUAAUAAUAAUAAUAAUAAUAAUAAUAAUAAUAAUAAUAAUAAUAAUAAUAAUAAUAAUAAUAAUAAUAAUAAUAAUAAUAAUAAUAAUAAUAAUAAUAAUAAUAAUAAUAAUAAUAAUAAUAAUAAUAAUAAUAAUAAUAAUAAUAAUAAUAAUAAUAAUAAUAAUAAUAAUAAUAAUAAUAAUAAUAAUAAUAAUAAUAAUAAUAAUAAUAAUAAUAAUAAUAAUAAUAAUAAUAAUAAUAAUAAUAAUAAUAAUAAUAAUAAUAAUAAUAAUAAUAAUAAUAAUAAUAAUAAUAAUAAUAAUAAUAAUAAUAAUAAUAAUAAUAAUAAUAAUAAUAAUAAUAAUAAUAAUAAUAAUAAUAAUAAUAAUAAUAAUAAUAAUAAUAAUAAUAAUAAUAAUAAUAAUAAUAAUAAUAAUAAUAAUAAUAAUAAUAAUAAUAAUAAUAAUAAUAAUAAUAAUAAUAAUAAUAAUAAUAAUAAUAAUAAUAAUAAUAAUAAUAAUAAUAAUAAUAAUAAUAAUAAUAAUAAUAAUAAUAAUAAUAAUAAUAAUAAUAAUAAUAAUAAUAAUAAUAAUAAUAAUAAUAAUAAUAAUAAUAAUAAUAAUAAUAAUAAUAAUAAUAAUAAUAAUAAUAAUAAUAAUAAUAAUAAUAAUAAUAAUAAUAAUAAUAAUAAUAAUAAUAAUAAUAAUAAUAAUAAUAAUAAUAAUAAUAAUAAUAAUAAUAAUAAUAAUAAUAAUAAUAAUAAUAAUAAUAAUAAUAAUAAUAAUAAUAAUAAUAAUAAUAAUAAUAAUAAUAAUAAUAAUAAUAAUAAUAAUAAUAAUAAUAAUAAUAAUAAUAAUAAUAAUAAUAAUAAUAAUAAUAAUAAUAAUAAUAAUAAUAAUAAUAAUAAUAAUAAUAAUAAUAAUAAUAAUAAUAAUAAUAAUAAUAAUAAUAAUAAUAAUAAUAAUAAUAAUAAUAAUAAUAAUAAUAAUAAUAAUAAUAAUAAUAAUAAUAAUAAUAAUAAUAAUAAUAAUAAUAAUAAUAAUAAUAAUAAUAAUAAUAAUAAUAAUAAUAAUAAUAAUAAUAAUAAUAAUAAUAAUAAUAAUAAUAAUAAUAAUAAUAAUAAUAAUAAUAAUAAUAAUAAUAAUAAUAAUAAUAAUAAUAAUAAUAAUAAUAAUAAUAAUAAUAAUAAUAAUAAUAAUAAUAAUAAUAAUAAUAAUAAUAAUAAUAAUAAUAAUAAUAAUAAUAAUAAUAAUAAUAAUAAUAAUAAUAAUAAUAAUAAUAAUAAUAAUAAUAAUAAUAAUAAUAAUAAUAAUAAUAAUAAUAAUAAUAAUAAUAAUAAUAAUAAUAAUAAUAAUAAUAAUAAUAAUAAUAAUAAUAAUAAUAAUAAUAAUAAUAAUAAUAAUAAUAAUAAUAAUAAUAAUAAUAAUAAUAAUAAUAAUAAUAAUAAUAAUAAUAAUAAUAAUAAUAAUAAUAAUAAUAAUAAUAGAGAAGAGAAAAAUUAGAUCUAGGGUUUCUUUCUUUUUCUCCAAUCCAAAAAUCCCCCCUUUUCACAAUAGAUUCCUCCCUUAAAUACUCUCUCUCUCUUCUCCUCUAGAAUUCUAUUUAAAAUAAAAUACUAACAUCUGAAAUAUUAAAUUCGUAAUUACAAAAAUAACCAAAAAUACAAAACACGUUAAACUAAAAACUGCAGGUCCGCAGUUGACAGCACGCGCCCACGCCUUAUCAACAAAGUUCUUCUGACGCUCAUAAUUUCUCCAAGAGAACAAUCAUCCUUAAACAUCAUCUUAUAGCUCAAUUUUAUCAUCAAUCAAUAGAAUUGCACCUACAAAAGUAAAACAUAAGUAAAUCACUAUUAUUAAGUGCAAAACAUUGAUAUUAAGGGAAGUAAAUAAUGCAAAACUAGUGCAUAAAUUGCACUCUAACAGUAAUCAGUAAUCAGCAUUAAAAAUUAAAUUAAAUUAAAUUUUUUUGUUUUUAAUAUUAUUUAGUUAUAGACUUAUUAUUAUAUUUAUUCGUUCAUAAAACUAAAUAAUGUUAAAUCAAAUAAAAUAAUCAGGAAUGGUUCUUAAAAAAUUAAUAUUAUUUAUUUUAUUUUAUUUAAUAUUAUUUAGUCAUAGCCUAUUAUUCUGUUUAUUUUUUGAAAAUUAAAUAAUAUUAAAUAAAAUAGAAUAGAAAAUGUGAGUCCUUAAAAAUAAAAAUUAUUUUUAAUAUUAUUUAUUUUAUUUAAAAGAAUAAAUUUUUUAAUAUUUUUAUUUUAUUAAAAAAUAUUAUUUAAUAUUAUCUAGUCAUAGGCUUAUUAUUAUAUUUCUUCUUUUAGAAAGUUAAAUAGUAUUAAAUGAAAUAAAAUUACAUUUUAGAAGGUCAUUAGCCAAAGCACAUAAACUUAUAAACAAAUGGAAAUAAAAAAGGUAAAUAAUAUUCAAUAAAAUAAAAUUACAUUUUAAAAGGUCACCAACCAAAGCACAUAAUAUUAUAACAAAAAUGUAAAUAAAAAAGAAAGUAAGAGAUUCAAUGAAAUUUAACAUCACAAAAGACAAUUUCAAAAAUUGGGGGUAGCUUGCAACUGUUGCAAAGUGGCUGGUUCCAUAAUUUUGAGAUAAUGUUUCGGUUUCAAAUAUUGUUAUCGAUACCUAAUUAUAAGUAAUAAAAAAAUAUUGUAUAAUUUUUUUACCAACAUUUACAAUACAUUUUAUUUUGAUUUCUGAAAAAAAUAGAUAAAACACAAAUUAAUUAUUUUAACCCUCUAUUCUCUCAAUAUUUAAACUCGAAUAAUCAGUUAAAAGUUGCUCGAGAAUGUUUAAAAGCCAUUUAAGUAUACCACGUCAUUCAUGUUUUGCAAUCAUUCAAUUGUUAAUAAGUUUCCCAUGUGCUGAAAAUAAAUAAAAAUGCACGUGCAUAUGUCAUAUUGUCUCCGAAACCUCACAGCGGAAUGAGUGUAGUACUUGCAAUGCAUGUACUUUAGACUUUGUAUUUCUCUUAUUUAAAUGAUCAAUAAUUUUUCUUUGUCCUUUAAUUAGACGUCAACAGUCGAAGUUGUGGGCAGGUAGUAGGCUAUAUAUAAUAAUUUCCUGGAGAUCUUCCGUCUUCUAAGACAUUGCAAAUGCCAAACGUGAUAACUAUUUUGAUAAUUCAAAUACUACAUAAAAUAUAUGAAGUGUCAGACAAGUCAAAAGAAUUGAUUCUUCACAAUUGUAUAUACGUAUACACACACUUUGCCCAAAUCCCAUUGUAUCCAGGCUGUAAUUUUUAUAUUAAACGAACAUAUUUUAUUUUAUGUCAGCAAUAUUGAUGCAGGCUGGGGGAACAACAGCUUCAGGAUGGUCAACUACCCUUCGGAUCAUUGCAAGUGGGAUGGCAUCACUUGCAAUUCAGAUGGAAGCAUAAUCAGGCUAAAAUUAUCAUGGUGUGAUGUUGACUUCAAAAGGUAAUCUUCGUAAAAUUAUCAUGGUAUAAUAUACGUAUUUAUUUUCGCAUACAUAAAUAAAUAACAAAAUUGUAAUUAAUUGGAUACAGCUUCAGCUUUUGGACUGGUUUGUGAAAAUCAGAAAAAUUUAAAAAUGCUCCUCUUGAACAAUCAAAAUCUACUUUAUACGUGAACAAAGGGGAUGAUUCGUAAAGAUAGUUCAUCAAUGUUUGAUUGCUUUCAAGCGUGUCGAUUACUUUCAGAAAGAAAGACUUCAUUUGAUCUCGUCACAAAACAUAAUUUCACUUUGAAUUUGAAAAAGAAUAAUGAAGUUCAUACAAGUGCUGUUAUGACCUUUUUUUUUUUGUUUUCUUUUUUUCUCGACGUUGUUUUGUGAAUCAUAAGGGUUAAUUUAAUACGGUGGGUUCGCUUGUAUGAAGCGCACUUAUUGUACCAUUCUGUUGCAAGCAAUGAAAAAACGCUAUAAUUUUUUUAAGUUUCUACAAGUAUUAUGUUAUCUUAUAUCUAAAUGUGCAUCUCUAGUCUUUGCUCUCAGUUCAGGUUCUCUAAAAGUAUAUUAAUUAUGAAAAGCAUUAAAGGUUCCGAAACUCUAUUUUGCGGGGAAAAAGAACCUCCAUUUUUGGUUUUUUAUUAUAUGAGAUUUUACUAUGCUCGUAAUAACUUAAUCGAAAUUAAACAUAUCACUGGUCUACAUUUUUUUAUAAGAUUUUGUGACUUGCUAAUUAAGAUGAGUAUCACCAUCAAAUCAACAAGCUUAUACCUUCAAAGAAAAAUAGACUAUAAGUCGGGAGAAAGAAGAAAAAAAAAAAAAAAAGAAUCUUCGCAAUUUAUGCUGUUGGUUGUGAGUUCAUGAAACAAAUAAAAAUAUGAAAUCAAACAUUUAUUCAAAAUUUAAAAUUAAAAAAAAAACUCUAUAUCUACAGUAAUCUGUUCAAACCACAUAGGUGGAGCAAUAUAGUUCCAAGACGUGGUUUUAAAACAUGUCUUUGUGAUAAACAAUAUCGUGAUACUUGCGCCAAUUCCCAUGGCAAUAAUUGCCUACAUUUAUCCAAGAUCCAUGGCCAGGUUUAGAAUGUGCUAGUCUUCUUUCACUUUCAUAAAUAACCACUACUAGGUAAUCAGAGUGUCGGUCUAAAUUUUUCGGAGAUACAACGUCAAUGUAUGUGCCCGGAGUUGAAGCUGAACGCGCUUAAAUAUGUUCGGAAUUUGAAGUUGAACGCCUGGAAAAGGAUGCAGACUGAAGAAAGGCAAUUCCUGGAAUUUGUCUUUGGUAAGAAAACAUGGCUGCUUAUGCCCUUUGAAAGACUGAAGAAACCAAAUUGAUUAUUGCUGCAAUUUAGUGGCACAUGUACGAGGAGAGGCAUCCAAUUAAACUUGUUCAUAAAAGUAUUGCUGAUAGUUGCAGCCGAUCUCCAGACAAAAUCUUCGUACAAUUUUAUCCGCCAGCAAUUUCGACCAAGAGACCUUGAUGCAGUUCAGACCAAUUCGCCAGUUGAACAUCAAGUUGCCUAGGCAUUGAGAAUUAGGUCAAUAAAAUAUAUCCUGGGUCACUUACAAAAGAUGAAAUAAGUGAAAAAGGAAAGAUGACGUAAUAAUUUCUUAGUGAGAAAAGUUAGUUAAUUUGCAAAGGUCUUAGAUAAUCAAUUUGAUGUAAAAAUAUCAAAAUUUUUUUUAAUCAGUGAAAUAUUCAACCUCUAGUUUCAGCACUACAAAUGAAUUAAAUAGAAUAAUGAUAGAUAUUUUAAAAUUUUAUCCCAAAUGAUGUGAUAUGUAAUGUAUCAUUCAUUAAGUAGUUGAUGAUUUUUUUAUAAAUUUUAAGUGGAUUAAUUAUAUUAUUUUACCAACGAGUAAAUAAAUGUCACAUCAUUAGAGAAGAAAUUUUAAGGUAAAACUUUUCAAAUAUAUAUCACUACUCCAUUAAAUAUGGUAUAAAAAAUCUAAUAGGGACCAAAAAUAUAAAAACCCAUUAAAAAUAAAAAAUAUAAAAGUCAAUUCCUAAUUAGAAGAAUGAAAGUUUGUUUCUCCUACAAUCAUUUCACUAGAUUUUAAAUAAAUUAAUUAAUGAAAAUUUUUAAUAACAAAUCGGUGCCUAAACCUAACGUCUUUUUUUUUUUGGUCUUAUCCACGAGGUAUCCUGGGGAGGGCCCCAACUGUGGGAGGCACCUUUAAGCCCGUACCACAACCCAGACUAGAAGUCCCCGCUCGAACCGGGAGGCACAGGUUCUCCCAACAAAGGCGACUUCCCCGCGACUCGAACUGGGGAGCAAACCCAGUCAAGCCACUUAAGGGGACUCCAUUGCCAGUGGAGCCAACACUUUGUUGGUUAAACCUAACGUCUUUGACAGUGCUGCCAAUAUCACUCACAACUUACAAGAAAAUUUUGGUAUUAAAUUUAUUAAUGUUCUCAAGGAAUUUUUAGUUUGACUUUGCAUUCUCAGACCCAUUUGUCACAUAACACGUUAGCAAAGACCUUUAAUGAGAAUAUUAAAACAGCUGUCGAAUAAGCAUCUUGACGACGACUUUUUGACAUAUAUGCAUGCCUCCUUUUGUGAACAAAUUUGAAACAUAAAAGAAAAUUUUGAUCCAUGUGAGAGCUGGAGUAUUUUAUAGCUUUUGACCUCAUUAAUUAUGAGUAAGGGAAUAUUUCUACGUCACUAACGAUUAACAUGAUCACUAUAUAAAGGGAAGCAAAGUAUGUUUAGCAUCAAGUCAGAAAACACAAUUUUUAGGAAAUGGGAACUCUAGGACAGGCGAAGCAAUGGCCUCAAUUGGUUUGUGCUAUGGCAUUUUUGCUCAUAGCCACCACAACCGCAAAGGCAUCAGCUGAUGAUUAUGGCCCAGCACCAUCACCAAAGCAUGCAAAGCACCCUCCAAGCCAUUACAAGCCACCGAAACCACCAAAGCACCACGAGUCACCACCACCAUACUACUAUAACUCACCACCUCCACCAGUACAUUCUCCUCCACCACCUUAUUACUAUAAGUCUCCACCACCACCUUCUCUAUCUCCACCACCUCCUUACUAUUAUAAAUCACCACCACCACCGAAACAUUCUCCUCCACCUCCUUACUACUACAAAUCACCACCUCCUCCUUCUCCCUCUCCACCUCCACCAUAUUAUUACAAGUCUCCCCCACCACCAUCUCCAUCUCCCCCACCGCCUUACUACUAUAAAUCCCCACCACCACCAAAAUAUUCUCCUCCACCACCUUACUACUAUAAGUCACCACCUCCACCAGUGAAAUCUCCACCUCCGCCAUAUUACUAUAAAUCACCACCACCACCAAAACAUUCUCCCCCACCACCUUACUACUACAAGUCACCACCACCACCAAUGCAUUCUCCCCCACCACCUUACUAUUACAAAUCUCCACCACCACCAAAGCAUUCUCCUCCACCACCACCUUAUUACAAAUCACCACCCCCACCACCACCAAAACAUUCUCCCCCACCACCUUACUACUAUAAAUCUCCACCGCCACCAAAACAUUCUCCUCCUCCACCAUACUACUAUAAGUCACCACCUCCACCUGUAAAGUCUCCACCUCCACCACCUCACUACAAAUCACCACCACCACCAAAACAGUCUCCUCCACCACCUUAUUACUACAAGUCACCACCCCCACCAGUAAAGUCUCCACCACAGCCACCAAAGCAUUCUCCCCCGCCACCUUACUAUUACAAAUCACCACCUCCACCAAUGAAGUCUCCACCACCGCCACCUUACUAUAAAUCACCACCACCACCAAAUU
rnacentral:lncRNA from 1 species